AGAAAAAAUCAAUUACUCGAGACAACAAAGGUGAAAAAUGGAGAUCUAUUUUCCAUAUGGGACUAUGAUGGUGUGAUUGCUUAUCAAGACAUCAUCCAAGCAACCGAAGAUUUUGACAUCAAAUACUGCAUAGGCACGGGAGGCUAUGGGAGCGUUUACAGAGCACAACUACCUUCCGGGAAGGUGGUUGCCUUGAAAAAACUUCAUGGAUGGGAAAGAGGGGAUCCAACUUACUUGAAAAGCUUUGAAAAUGAAGUUCAAAUGCUAACAAGAAUACGACAUCGUAAUAUUGUGAAACUUCAUGGCUUUUGUCUACAUAAGAGAUGCAUGUUUCUAGUUUACAAAUAUAUGGAGAAAGGAAGCUUGUAUUGUAUGCUAAGGGAUGAAGUUGAGGCUGUGGAAUUGGAUUGGAUUAAGAGGGUGAAUGUUGUUAAAAGCAUUGCUAAUGCUUUAUCCUACAUGCAUCAUGACUGCGACUUGCCCAUCAUUCAUCGAGACAUAUCAAGUAAUAACAUUCUUUUGGACUCUAAGCUUGAAGCUUUUGUUUCGGAUUUUGGCACUGCAAGAUUGUUAGAUAAUGAUUCAUCCAAUCGAACCCUUCUUGUAGGCACUUAUGGUUAUAUUGCACCAGGUAAGCUAGAUUAUAAUCUUCACUAGUUUUCAUUACUUAUGAAUCUUUUCAAUUGUCACACCCUUACAAAAUUCCAAAAGUUUUUUAGAUCGAGAAUUCAAAAUAUUUUAUAAGUUUUCUCUAUAUAAAUAACAUGAAUACUCUUUUUUUUUCUAUAUUUUGCAGAGCUUGCUUAUACUAUGGUUGUGACUGAAAAAUGUGACAUUUAUAGCUUUGGGAUGGUUGCAUUGGAGACAAUGAUGGGAAUGCAUCCAGGAGAAUUUGUCACCUCAUUAUCAUCUUCAUCAACUCAAAACACAACGUUAAAGGAUGUAUUAGAUUCACGUCUUUCAUCUCCUAAAAGUACACAAGUUGCUAAUAACAUAGCUCUUAUAGUGUCAUUGGCGCUCAAAUGUCUCCAUUCUAAUCCACAAUUUCGUCCAUCCAUGCAAGAAGUGUCUUCGAAACUUGUUUCUACAAGGUCAUUCCCACAACCCAUCAGUACAAUAUCACUUUUGCAACUAAAAGAUGAAGUUAUUUAAAUGGCAUGGAGUUGGUAUGUAAUUGGAGUGAAGAUGUUUAUUUUCCAUUUUUCUUUUUCAUGGUAAUGAGAAUUUUAUAAUAUAUGUAUCCCUUCUUUCCUAUUAAUUACUCAAAUGCAAAUUUUCUAUUUGUUUUUCCAAAGCGGCAAUAGUGUAAUGUGAUACUAAGAAUUACAUCAAAUUGAUACACAAUGAUCUAUAAACUUUUAAUGAACCAUGUCAUUCCGAUUAAUAAUUUUUUAUAAUGAUUCUUUUUUGGAGAAAAAUCCUUCUUUUUCUUUUAUCAAUUUUAACAUAUAUACCAUUUUCUCCAUUUUCAUAUUCUAAUCAAUCAAAUUAGUGACAUUUCUUGUAAAUGUGACAAACCUAUUGUCAAAGGCAUUAAAAAAAUUAGGGAAAAAACAAAUUGAAUAAUUUCAAUGUGAUUGUCUCUACAUGAUGAAGAUAAUAAAUUUAUUUUAUUUAUUUUUAAAAUACUGUUUUAUCCAUUUUUCCUAUAUCAUCUAAAAUUUUGUCUAAAAUAAAAUUAUUUGAUUUUGUAUAAGAAUACUUAAAAAUGUCGGUGGGAAUGUGGGAUACUAGGCUGACACUAAAACACCAAAUGACAUACUUGUGAUACAAUAUUAAGAAAUUAUUUCAUAAUAUUUUAUAAUUUGUUUCUACUAUUUAGUCACCCAUAAAUAUCAAUUUUAAAAAAAUUUAAUGAUUAAAGAAAAUUAAGUGAGAUAUAAUUAAAUAACUCUAAAAAUUUUAUUUUCCCAUCAUGGAAUAACAGAAUUGAUAUUCAUACUAAUGAUUUUAUUAAGAUAAGAUACCUAGUCGAUAAAAUGUCCUUGAUUUUAUAUAAAAUUAGACAUUAUAUUUACUUAAAUUAUUUUCAUAAUAGUAGCAUAUUUGUUAAAUAUAUGAAACUAUUCAAAUUGAAUAAUUUAGGUAAACUAUGAAUAUUAUAAGUACGCCAUUAAUGCUCCUCGUUUUAAAAGAAGCAAUAUUUCAGUUUCAUAUCUAAAGUUUUUUUUUCCAACUCCAAUUGGUGUAUAUAGACCCGAUUUUGUAGUGAAGCUUGGCAGCUAGUAGGAUUUCCUUCACAGAAAAGAAUGGACAGAUGAAAUAAACAGAAACCAAACCAAGAGAUGAGUGUGGUGUAUUCUCAUUCCUUGGCUAGAAUCCCCACAUCACAGGUACUGCCUGUUAGCUUUUUUCUUAUAAUGUGUGGCCAUAUACAAUUAUAUUUGUAUGAAUAUUAUUUAAGGGUAUCAAUUGAUAGGUUGGUGAAUCAAUUGAUUGGGCAUCCAAGAGUCUUAUGUAUGGAAGAUUCAAAUUUAUAAAUGGGGAGUUAGAAAAUUUAACUCAUAUGAAUGUGGUGUUACAACUUUUGUAACCCCAUCAUUAUGAAAUUUAUUUGUACAUUAUGUUUAUGAGUAAUGGAGGAAAAUGGAAAAGUAUAACCUAUGCAAUUAUAUAGAUGCAUUCAAGUUCAUAACCCACCAUUACCCAUUGAUUUGUACAUAAUGGGUGUAAAUAAUGAGUAUAACUCUCAUAUAGUCUUUGAUGGGAAGACUAAGAGAUGUACAAUUUUUUUUAUAAGUUCAAGUCCCAAGCCACACUCUCAUUCUUAUAUCAUUUUUGUUAUUUAUUUUUAACAACAUACACCAUACAAAUGACUCAUCCACUAUAUGAGAGUAGUGAGUUGAAGACCUUGACAAUAUAAUUCACAAGGUGACUUAAUCUCACUUCAUGGUUCAAGGUAAGAAUAUGAUCAUUAUUUUAGUAUUUACAUUUAUUUUGUUUUAUGCAUCCAAAAUUGUUUUUUAAAAUAAUUAUUUCCGCAUAAAGUUUAUAAAAGUUUGGUUAACAAUUGGUAUCAGAGCCAACCAAUUUUGGAUCAUAAAACAUAUUUUUCCGUUUUUUGAUUAUUGUUUGAUCUUAUGGACAACUAAAAUAUAUAUGAUGUGAUGCAUAUGAAUGAUGUAGUAACACAACAUUUUCAAUGUUUCAUGAUUUCAAUCAUAUCUAUUGCAUGAUUUUAUGAAAGUUGAAAACAUAUGAUUAGUAAUUUAAAUGUGUGAUUAUGGAAAUCUCAAGAAAUAGUUUUUCUAGUAUGCAUGUUUAUUUACUUGUUUGUUUGAAGAUGAUCAUAUAUAUAUAUAUAUAUAUGUGUGUGUGUGUGUGUGUGUGUGUGUGUGUUGUUCAACUUAUGAAACAAGUGUUGAUCAACCCAACGGAGGAUCAUCACCAUGUUUGAUUAUAUGAAAAGAGUUUAAUAAUAAAAAGUUGAUGAAGUUUUUACCCAACGGUAUUAAACUUCUUUACGUUUCAAUACUUUUAUUUUAAUAAUUAUGUCAUAUCUAUAUGAUUUAUGAAUUAUUAUAAUUCAACCCAACGGAGGGAUUAUAAUAAUGUACUUUUGAAUUAUAUGAUUGUAGUUCGGUCCAACGAAAGAACUAUGAUAUAAUCUCUUAUGUUUAUAAUUAAUGUGAUAUCUAACUUAAUUUUUGUUGUAAUUAGAUUAUUGUAAAGUGUGGUGUUAAAUAUUGUCAUGAUAUAAAAUAAUUUUCCUUUUGAAUUAAUCCUAUUGCUAUUAUAGGCUAUUUGUCUGGUAUUGAACAAUUAAGUGGGGCAAAUUUUAAAAAAUGGAAGGAACAAAUUGGAAUUAUUCUUGGUUGCAUGGAUUUGGACUAUGCCUUAAGAGAACCUACACCCACAAAGCCUACUUCUGAAAGGACUAAUGAACAAAAGGUUUUAUAUGAAAAGUGGGAGCGCUCUAAUCGCAUGAGUCUAAUGAUUAUGAAAGGUUCAAUCACUCCUGCAAUUCGUGGAGCAAUCCCGGAUUCAGAUAAUGCAAUAACCUAUAUUAAAUCAGUUGAAAAACAAUUCUUAGGAACUUCCAAGUCCUUGGCAAGUACUCUUAUGAUCAAAAUGAUAACAAUGAAAUAUGAUGGUCAUAGUGGUGUACGUGAGCACAUCAUGAAGAUGAGUGACAUGGCUUCUCAAUUGAAAGGAAUGGACAUGACAAUUUCUGAAGGUUUUCUUGUUCACUUCAUAAUGACUUCCCUUUCUUCACAAUUUGGUCAUUUCAAAAUUAAUUAUAAUACUCAGAAGGAUAAGUGGAAAAUGAGUGAACUAAUUGCCAUGUGUGUUCAAGAAGAAGAGAGGCUUAAAGUGGAAAAGCCCGAUAUGGCUCACCUCACCAUUGGUCCAAAUAAAAAAUCCUUCAAGAAAGGUAAAGGUAAGAAAAAUAAGCAAGGUAAUGAUGUAUCUCACAAUGGGCAAAAGUAUGAAAAUAAGAUACAAUGUUAUUUUUUCCACAAGAAAGGUCACAAAAGAAGAGAUUGUUCUGGCUUUAAGCCUUGGUUGGAAAAGAAAGGUAAAACUCAAUGCUUAGUGUCUUAUGAAUCUUAUUUAGUUGAUAUACCACCAAACUCUUGGUGGAUUGACACUGAUGCAAGCAUUCACAUAACGAAUUCAUUGCAGGGAUACCUUACAAGCAAGAUACUAAGUAAAGGAGAGCGAACCAUUACUUUGGGAAAUGGAACAGAAGUGGAAAUUGAGGCUAUUGACACUCUUUGUUUAAUUUUGGAUACUGGUUUCAUUAUGGAUUUAGUAGAUAUAGUUUAUAUUCCUGUUUUUAUUAGAAACCUAAUUUCAGUUCCAAGACUUGAUUCUUAUGGUUAUGAAUUAAAGUUUGGAAAUAAUGGAGUUUCCUUGUUCUAUAAUUCUUGUUUGGUUGGCUCUGGCACUUUACAUGGUAAUCUUUAUUCAUUGAAUUUAGAUUGCAAAUAUUCACAGUCUCUUUUAUCUUAUCAUGUGUAUGAAUUCUCUAAAAAACGAAAUCAAGUGAAUGAAAAUUCAUCCAUAUUGUGGCAUAAGCGAUUGGGUCACAUUUCAAGAGAAAGGAUGGAACAUCUUAUUAAAGAUGAAAUUUUGACUUCACCUGAUUUUUCUGAUUUUACUAAUUGUGUUGAAUGCAUAAAGGGAAAACACACUAAGGUUAAGAAAAAGGGUGCCUCAAGGGCUACUAAAUUGUUAGAAUGUAUUCAUUAUGACAUUUGGGGACCUUAUUCAAUUCCAACUAUCAAUGGACAUAAGUACUUUAUUAGUUUUAUUGAUGACUUUUCAAGGUAUUCUUAUGUGUAUCUUAUUCGUGAAAAAUCUGAAGCAUUAGAUGUUUUUAAGAUUUAUAAAGCUGAGGUUGAAAAUCAACUCAAUCGGCGAAUUAUAAGUGUAAGAUCUGAUAGAUGUGGUGAAUAUUAUGGUAGGUUCACCAAAUCAGGUCAACAUCUUAGUGCUUUUGCCUUAUUUUUAAGAGAGCAUGGUAUCAUUGCAAACUACACAAUGCCUGGAACACCAGAGCAAAAUGGUGUAGCAGAGCGACAAAAUCGUACUCUAAUUGACAUGGUGAGAAGUAUGAUGAGUGACUCAACCUUGCCUGAAUUUUUGUGGGGUGAAGCAUUGAAAACUGCUGUUCACAUUCUCAAUCGUGUUUUUAGUAAGGUUGUACCCAAAACUCCUUAUGAGUUAUGGGUGGGUAGGAAACCGAAUUUGAAUUAUUUACAUGUAUGGGGAUGUCCAGUUCAAGCUAAAAUUUUUAACCCACAAAUCAAGAAAUUGGAUUCUAAAACCAUAAGUUGCAAUUUCAUUGGCUAUCCUGAAAGAUCAAAAGGUUUUAGAUUUUAUUGUCAUGGUCAGGGCCCUAAAAUUUUUGAAACUAGACAUGCUGUGUUUUUGGAAAAUGAAUAUUUUAGUGGGAGAACUGAGCUUAAAAAGUUAACCUCUAAUGAAGUAUCAACACCAAUGAUGGAAUAUGGUGUGACUCAAGAGGUUUCUUGUAAUGAAAAUGAGAAUGUCCCAACUACAGAAGCAUCUUUACGUAGAUCACAAAGAGAGAAAAAACCUGCUAUAUCAAAUGACUAUGAAGUUUAUCUUAAUGAGUGUGAUUAUGACGUUGGCUUGGAAAGUGAUCCUACUUCUUAUGAUCAAGCCAUCAAUAGUGAAAAUUCAACUCUAUGGCUUUAUGCUAUGGAAGAAGAGUUGAAAUCAAUGAAAGAUAAUGAAGUUUGGGAUCUUGUAAAAUUGCCUAAAGGAGAUAAAACUAUUGGUUGCAAAUGGAUUUUUAAAACCAAACAUGAUUUUAAGGGCAAUGUCGAAAAAUACAAGGCUAGGUUAGUUGCAAAAGGAUACACUCAAAAAGAAGGAAUCGACUAUAAGGAAGCAUUUUCUCCUGUUUCCAAGAAAGAUUCCUUAAGAAUAGUCAUGACUUUAGUAGCUCAUGUUGACUUAGAGUUACAUCAAAUGGACGUUAAAAUUGCAUUUUUGAAUAGUGACUUGCAUGAAGAGGUUUAUAUGGAUCAACCCGGGGGUUUUUAGGAUAAAAGCAAGGAACAUAUGGUAUGUAAACUUAAAAAGUCCAUAUAUGGUCUAAAACAGGCUUCUAGAUAAUGGUAUCUUAAGUUCCAUGAAAUUCUCAUCACUUUUGGUUUCAAAGAGAAUCUAGUGGAUCAAUGUAUAUACCUUAAGAUCAGUGGAAGCAAAAUUUGUAUUAUUGUAUUGUAUGUUGAUGAUAUGUUGCUUGCUAGCAACAAUAUGAGAAUGAUUUUGGAGACCAAACAAUUUUUAUCCAAGAAUUUUUAUAUGAAAGAUCUUGGUGAAGCAUCCUAUGUGAUGGAAAUUGAAAUUCAUCGAGAUAGGUCACGUGGAUUAUUAGGAUUAUCCCAAAAGAACUAUAUUGAAAAAUUUCUUAAAAGAUUCAACAUGCAAAAUUGUUUUAGUAGUGUUGCUCCUGUUGUGAAAGGGGACAUAUUUUGUGAACUUCAAUGUCCCAAAAAUGAUCUUGAAAAGAAACAAAUGGAAAAAAUUCCUUAUGCUUCAGCAGUAGGAUGUAUCAUGUAUGCUCAAGUCUACACUCAACUAGACAUAGCUUAUGUGGUAGGCAUGCUUGGUCGAUACCAAAGUAAUCCAGGUAUUGAUCAUUGGAAAGCAGUUAAAAAAAAGUAUUGCGUUAUUUGCAAGGGACUAAGGACUACAUGCUUACAUACAAAAGAACAGAUAAUCUAGAGAUUAUUGGUUAUUCUGAUUCUGAUUAUGCUGGCUGUAAGGAUACUAGAAAGUUUACAUCUGGGUAUAUUUUAUCAAAUGGACCUAUUUCAUGGAAAGGUCGUAAGCAAUCAUUGAUAGCUUCUUCUACAAUGGAGGCAGAAUAUGUAGCAUGUUAUGAAGCCACAUGUCAUGUAAUAUGGUUGAGAAACUUUGUCUCAGGGCUUCAUAUUAUUGAUUCAAUAAUGAGACCAUUGAGAAUAUAUUGUGAUAAUAGUGGUGCUGUCCGAUUCUCUAAAAAUAAUAAGACUACUGGAGGAUCAAAGCACAUUGAUAUUAAGUAUUUGGUUGUAAGGGAGAAAGUUCAACAUAGAGUUGUCUCUAUUGAACAUAUUAAAAAUACACUCAUGUUGGCAAAUCCAUUGACAAAAGGUCUUCCACCUAAGCUUUUUAUGGAUUAUGUUGCAUGCAUGGGCUUGGUGGCAAGUUUGUCAAUUUUAGAUUGAUUGAAAGUGUAAUGUAUGUGAUCACAUUAUAAUGAGAAUAAAGUUCUUGAUUAUGAUAUAUUGAUGAUUAUUAUGUUACUUUUAUACAUCAUUUUUGUGCACAAUCUAGAUGUUUAAAAGUUGAUGAGACCAUUAUGUGAAUGAAUUAGCAUUAUCACCUUAAUGUUGCUAAUGUCAUAAAAGUCAUUGAUUCAUGUUAAUGGAGGUGUUAGUACUAUAAUCCUUGAAGAAUAUUGGAUCGUUGUAUGAUCCAAUCAUUUCAAUGAUUUGGUGUUAGUGGUUCCAUGAAACAUAAUCUUAAAGUAAAGGAUGCCUAUUUUGAGAAAUUGUUAUGGCCAUAUUAUGUUUUAAUCUAUUACAAAUAUAAUUAUGUGGGCCAAGUGGGGGAUUGUUAGUUUUUUUCCCAUAAUGUGUGGCCAUAUACAAUUAUAUUUGUAUGAAUAUUAUUUAAGGGUAUCAAUUGAUAGGUUGGUGAAUCAAUUAAUUGGGCAUCCAAGAGUCUUAUGUAUGGAAAACUCAAAUUUAUAAAUGGGGAGUUAGAAAAUUUAACUCCUAUGAAUGUGGUGUUACAACUAUUGUAACCCUAUCAUUAUGAAAUUUAUUUGUACAUUAUGUUUAUGAGUAAUAGAGGAAAAUGGAAAAGUAUAACCUAUGCAAUUAUAUAGAUGCAUUCAAGUUCAUAACCUACCAUUACCCAUUAAUUUGUACAUAAUGGGUGUAAAUAAUGAGUAUAACUCCCAUAUAGUCUUUGAUGGGAAGACUAAGAGAUGUACAAUUUUUUUUAUAAGUUGAGGUUUCAAGCCACAUUCUCAUUCUUAUGUCAUUUUUUGUUGUUUAUUUUUAACAACAUACACCAUACAAGUGACCCAUCCACUAUAUGAGAAUAGUGAGUUGAAGACCUUGACAAUACAAUUCACAAGGUGACUCAAUCUCACUUCAUGGAUCAAGGUAAGAAUAUGAUUAUUAUUUUAGUAUUUACAUUUAUUUUGUUUUAUGCAUCCAAAAUUGUUUUUUAAAAUAAUUAUUUCCGCAUAAAGUUUAUAAAAGUUUGGUUAACACUGCUCUUCUUCACUCCAAAACCAGGUUCUUUUCUCUUUUCUCUUUUCCUGCUUCUCAAUUCCCAUAAUUCUCAUUCAUCUUCAAUGCUCUUAAUCAAGUCCAAGAGUUGCAGAUUGAUUUCAUGGGAAGUCAAUUCAAUUAUGAAUGACAAUAAUAAUAGUGGCAAGAAAGGUCAAUUGUAGUUCAUUCUCGAGUCACAAGGUCAAAUAUUGCAUUGGGUUGACUCAUCUAAGUCUUCUUCUUGGUCUUUUAUGUAAACAUGGCGUAGCUUGGAAAAUUAUACUAAUAAAUCCAUCAUUGAUCUCAACAUCAAUAUUUUUUUCUUCAAAUUAUUUGAUAGGAAGCCUCCCCAACGUGGAAUAUUGAAUUUAGUUGUUUAAUGGACUUCAAUCGCAUGCUCUUUGAAAUUAAGCCCCAGUCCAUAUUUUUUGUGUGUGUUCAUAUGGUAACCUGGCCUGUUAAAGAUGUAUUUCAUUUUCUUGAAAAGAAAUAAUUAGUGCAUACAUAUUUUGAGAAGAGAAAAAUUAAGAUUCAAUAUAUUUACAUUAUUAAUUUAUUAAAUAAGUAAAUAAUUAAUUAAUCAAAUAAUUUUUCAAAAAAUUAAAUAAUUAAUUAAUCAAAUAAUUUUUCAAAAAAUUAAAUAAUUAAUUAAUCAAAUAAUUUUUAAAAAAUUAAAGAAAAUAUUUUUGUUAAUUAAAAAAAUUUAUUUAUAAAGGGUUUAGAUAGAAAACAAAAAGAGGUUUUAAAUGUAAAGUUGCAUGGAGAAGUGAAUUGUAUGGUUUGGACAAUUUCAUAAAUAAAUCCAUCAUCAUCAUUGUAAGAUGGUUUACCCUUCUCAAAAUCAUUAUCAAACCUAGGUGUUUUUAAAAAAAUUUAUAAAGAUUUAUAUAUAUAUAUAUAUAUAUAUAUAUAUAUAUAUAUAUAUAUAUAUAUAUAUAUAUAUAUAUAUAUAUAUAUAUAUAUAUAUAUUUUAUGAUUUAUCAUUCUUUAAAUUCUGUUGACUCUUCUAAGUCUAUUUAUUGGUCUUUUAGGUAAAUAUGGUGUACCUUGAAAAAUUCUAUCCAUCAUUGAUUGAGAAGAUGUAUUUCAUUUUCUUGGAAAUAAAUAGUUAGUGCAUACAUAUUUUGAACACUUAACCGAGGAGAAAUAUUAAAUUAAAAAGAAAAAUGGCACCAUGCACUUAUAAGAUUCAAUAUAUUUGUUUAUUUGUUAAAUAAGUAAAUAAUUAAUUAAUCAAAGGCUUUAAAAUAUUUUAUAGAAAAAACUUUUGUUGAUUAAAAAAUAUAUUUUUCAAGCAUCCAUCUAACGUGAAAUCAUGGGAUGCACCUUUUUUUUUUCCACGGAUUCAAUUACUCUUAGAAAAUUAUCCCUUAUUCCUUAUUUUUUGUGCUCAUAUGGUGACCUAUUGAAGAUGUAAUUUGUAUAAAAUACAAUUUUUUAGCCUUAUUUAUAUUUAUAUUUUUCUGUGAUUUAAUAUAUCCCAAUAUUAUUUUAAAACACUUAUUUUUUAUACUUUACUAUAAGUUUAGAAAAAAAAUUUAAAUUUUUUUAUACUUUACCUUGUCAUGUUACAAUGCCCUAACCUUUUCCAAAGGUGGCUUUGGAAAUUAUGGCCCCAUCCACAUUUUGAUUUGUCAUGUUUACAAGUCAUGUAUCUGGGAAUCAAUCCUUUCAAAAACCCACUAUUUGGAGUCACUUUCGGAAACCAUUCCCUUCUCCAUAUUUUUGUGUUCACAUGGUCAGUUGUUGAAGAUGUAUUUGAUUUUUCCUUUUAAAAGAAAUAAUUAGUGCAUAGACAUCUUCAACAUCUAACCAAGGAGAAAUAUUAAAUUAAAAAGCAAAAUGGGUCAACCUCAAGACCCAAGGUCCGAGGAACCCAAGCCUUAACAACCGAUGAAGGGAUGACCUCAAAACCGAAGGUUCUUGCGUACUCUUCGUACUCAAAGGAAGACCUUGACAAAGAGUCGAAGACAUAAAGUGGAAAAUGAAGGUUGACUAACUUGGCUUGCAGGGAAAUGAAGUGGCCUUAUAACAAACACGCACGAUUUCAUAUUCUCAUAAGAUUCAACGUAUUUGUUUAUUUGUUAUUUAAUUAGUUAAUUAAUAAAGUCUUUAAAAAAAAUUAAAGAAAAAACUAUGAAAAAUAUAAGGAAAAUUGGAUAAGAAGUAACCCAAUAAAAAUAUUUUAAGAAAUAUGAGUUACUUUGUAGUCUUUUAAUAAAAAAAUAAAAUACAUUUUAUUUAACAUAAGGAGAUUUAUCUCCAAAAAUUACACCACCUUUCAUUAAAUAAUUUUAUUUUAACAUAAGUUUCUAACAAAAAAACUUCCCAAGAAAAACAUCAAAUAACAUUGUAAAAUCAAUAUUGUAAGUAUGAUAUGAUUUUCCUUAGGUUUCCUCAAUAGCCUGAGAGACUAGUGAUUUGGAACCAGUUUCUAAGCUUUCUGGAGCAUCCCCAACACUUUUGUGAUCAAACUUGAAACUAUAGCACUUGGUCCCUUUGAUCAUGCCAAUCACAUUUGUUGAUCCCUGUGGCUGCUAAAUGUUUUGAGUCUCUAAAUAUCCGCUUCCUUUCCAAAACUCGAAUGAACAAAACUAAGAACUUUAAUGCAAUCACCUUUCUAAAAAAAAUAAUAAUAAUAAAAUUGAAAAAAGAAAAAAUCAACAUGCAUGUUUAAAUAAUCACUCACUUCAUCUAUGUACAUUAAUUUAUUCCCCCUUGUGUUGUGAUCUAUUCAGAACUCAUCUUCUGAAUCACUAGAAGAAGAGUUCCUGGACUUGUCUGGCAUGAAAUUUGGCGGCAAGUUUGGGAACUUCACUGGAAUUCUUGAUGGUGGUGACUUUGUUGAUGAUGGCCCCAAACUUGCUGUGGUUGUUUUCCUCCGUUGUAGAUUUCGAGCAAUAUCAACACAGACCUGAUCAACCAUACCCAGAAAAUCUUUUACUAUAAUAAAUAAUUGAAGCGGGCUUGCCUCUUUGUUCUUUGAAGAUCGUGGUUGAUAAUAUUCUGUUGUUCUCCUUAAGAGCUCCAUUACCCUUGUUUGCUCUUCUCUCACCUCCCUUAAUUCUUCGCCUGCUGCUUCGAGAAAACUUUUCAUCUUCCUCAAAAAUCCUCCAUCACUGUUGGCAAAUGGUGCCACAAAUUGCUUGAUUUCAGUGGAAUGGGCUGUGAGAGUUGAACAUACGCCACCAAAGGCAUUGUAGUCCAUUUCAGCUACUUUCUUUACAUUAGAGAAUUCAGCACUUAGGCUUCCUACCACUGGUAAACCAAUCAUUAUGUAUUCCUUUUCUCUAUCCUCUCUUGAUGCCGAGUUCUCAGAAUACAGGCUACUGUUGCUGCUGUGACUCAAGCUGCGAUUUCGGUUCAAAACACAACGUUUGCCCUCAGAACGGACUACUUCUUCCACAACAAAGUGAAGUAACGUAGUUUUUCCAUCAGUGCUUUUAACAUCAGAAAGCUUUUGAAGAGCAGCGAGGUUAAAAGCUUGGGCAUUCCCUCUGGAAGUUCCAGCAUUCAUGCGAUUGCCUGCCUCGAGUAUGGCUUCCAAAAGUUUUAAGAAAAGUCCACGAGUUCGAAGCUCUUUGCAACCCAAUUCAAGUGUUUGUAAACAUUCCCUGAGAUGGAGAAUCUCUGAGUCAUAAUUCGAUCUGAAAAACAUGGCACUAAGACGUAUGAAUGCUGAUGGAACAGCUUUUAGGAUAUGGUAGAGGAAGGAUUCAGCAUCAGCCAGUCUUGUGGGGUCUCCCUCGAAUGCAAGGAUUUGGGAUUCUUCUUCUUUAGUUGGGGCAAUUUUUGUAAGCUUUUCAAGAGCAUCUGCAUUCAGGUCUUGGCCCUUAAUGAGUGCGUUGAGGAUCUCUUUUCGCGAGAUUGCUAAAGAUCGGAGUACAAUUGCUGUGUUUUGGGACUUUCGACUAUCAAGGAUGAAAAUCUGAGCCGAUUGAAUUGAGCUGGCACCAUUUGGGUUGUUAUGGUUUAUCUGAGGAGAUCUCCCAUUAGCAGCAACAUUUCCAAACAGUGCAUCCAUGAGGUCACCAUCGAAGCUGAGAAAUCAAUUGAAAAUUUUGGAAAUCCAGUAAAAUACCAAACAGAGGUGGUUAUGUAAUUCAAGAGACCAAAUUGGUAAAAUAUUACUACCUGAAAGAACCGCCAUUAAUUUUGUGCCACACCAUUGAAUGAUCGGCGUUAGUGUUCACUUUAUCCCAAUGCAAUGGCUUCAGCGCCACCCGACCAUUUCCAGUCCCUGCCUUGCUAUAUCCAGAUGAAGACUCUCCUAGUUUACUGCCAUUAGGCAUCCCUUUGGUCACCGAUGAGGCUUCUUUUGAUGAUGAAGUAAAACCACCCGCCUUAGGUGAGGGAGGUGGUGGUGGUAUGGGAUUUAUCUUAGCUGGGAUUGGUGGUGAGGGAGGUGGUGGUGGUAUGGGAUUUAUCUUUGCUGGGAUUGGUGGUGAGGGAGAUGGUGGUGGUGGUGGUAUGGGAUUUAUCUUAGCUGGGAUUGGUGGUGAGGGAGGUGGAGUAGCACUUGGCUUCUGUGGAAUUGCCAAUAUAGGUGGUGGGGGUGGGAGAGAUGUGGAUGAUUGAAUUGUUGAUUCAGUUUUUCCCACAGCCUCAAGAGAAAUCUCAGAAGAUUGUGACGAAGGAGGGGGGGCAGAAAACCAAUUCAGAUUUUCCACUUCUUCUUGAACUUCAUCAUAGGAAGUUGAAGACUUUCCUCGUAGCAAAGGAAUUUCUUGUAUAGGCUCAGACUUCGCCCUCCCAUCUCCAUUCCGACUCAUCCUUUUUUCUUCAUGUUUCAGAUUAUGUAGAGCCUGUUUAGGGAAACUAUUCUUCCUGUAAUCACCUUCAAGCUUCUUCCAAUAAAGCACGUCCAAACCAUUCUCAUCGACAAUCAGCCCAUUUAGAUUUCCAUUGAAUCGUGAGAACUCAAUGUGACUCACCACAUUUUCACCUCCACCUCGUGGAUCAUUUUUACCUUUCUGGCUUCUCCCCCGUGCAACCGUGUACUUUUGGAACAGAAUGAAGAACAACCCGGAGACAACUAUUGUGGUGGCUGCUGUUACAGCGACUGCCUUAGCAACAGCAUAGCUUGACGAUGACUUUGAUGAUGGAAUUGAUAGUUGGGAAAUUCGAGGAUUGGGAAUUGGAUUUGUUGGAUUUGGAGGAGGCCGGAACGGAUAGAAAGUUUCAAUAUUCCGAGGGGAAUUGGGUUGACAAGAAGAUAAAUGAAGAAUAGAAAAAAGGGAGACAAAAAACAGGGAGAUGAGAGGGCAUGGCUGAAUCACAGCAGCCAUGGAGAAAAGUUGGAUACAAUUGCAGAGAGGAUUAAAACGCACUCUGCUAGUCUUUUCUUUAUUUCAGGCAAUGCUGGUUGAUGUUUUGUCUUGUGCUUUUUGGGGUUUGGUCGUUGACAGUUUCAAACAGGAGUAGUUAGUUGGACCUGUUCUCAUUUUGGUAUUUCCCGGGCUUUUGUAUUUGAAAAAUCUACGAGCCUCAAUUGAAUUUGGAGGAUUCUUUUAUGAAUCUGAGGUGAAACAAAUUCAAACUUCAUCCCAGUAUUGAUUUUGGAAUUGAGUCGGUCUGAUUUAAAGCUUAUAUAUUAAAAAUAUUUAAUUACAAAGGUUUUUUAGUCUUUUUAGACGGAAAUAAUAUGGAUUGCUUUCUUGAAGCGUAAACUUGCAGCAAGGGAAGUGAUUGUCCUAGUCAUUGUCAUUGUCAUAGACGAGUCUUUUGUAGUGCUAAAAGACACAGAGCUGGGUGGUCGGCGACGACCCCAAUAUAAGACUUGAGCCCUGUGCUAAAAGGAGUUGCUUGACUUUGUGUGCUUCCAGGAAACAUUGAUUUCCAGGAAAUUAACUCUAAAAAAUAUAAUAAAUUUAUAAGGCCUUCAUUGAUAAAAUUAAUAUUAAUAAUAAUUAAGUGUAUUUAUAAUAAAUUUCAAGAGGUUUCAAUGAAAUUAACUCUAAAAAUUGAAAUAAUUAAUAUAUUUUAAAAAAAUUUAAAUGAAAAAUAUGGAUGAAAAUAAAAUAACAUAUAAAAUAUAAACCAUCCAUCUUUGAUACAAAGGACAAAAAUUUUGGAGAAAAAUGUUUCAUCAUUCCCUUGAUAAAAAAACUUACAUUUGUUUUAACCAUAAUAAUAGAAGAAAAAAAAGGGUAAAAGAGAAAAUGGAAGGUGAAAAAUGACGCAAAUAUAUUAAUUUCAUAUAUGCAUUCUGUUAUUUUUUUAAAAUUUAUAAAAAUAUUAAAAUAAGGAUAUUUUAGUUAUUAUGUUUUAAAAAAGUAACCAUGCUCCCUAUCUAAAAUAAAAUACAUUUUAAGUUUGUUUGUUUUGAAAAACAAGUUUUUCAAAUAUUUCAAUUCUAUUGCACCACCUCCCGAUUUUUUCAAAAAUACAUACGUAGAAGAUAGAAAGAGUUUUUAUCUCAUAUAUUAAAAAUAUUUAAAUUAGGAAGGUCUUUUAGAUAGGAAAGAAAAUCAAAUUAUGUGAUGAAUAAUUGAAUAUAAAUUGUCCCUUUUCAGACGUAAACUUGGUUUGUUAGGUUAGAAGAUAGCCAGAUGGGUGGUCAGUAAGAGAAUCAUGUGGACACCUAUAUUAUAGACUGAGAUUGAAAAAGAGUUGCUAGUUUUUUUACGGGAAGAGUCUUUGAGUCAGUCUGGAACUAUCUAGGAUAGUUUUUUGUUCUCUACGAAUAAAAAAUAUAAAAAAAAGAAUGUUUGAUAAUUAAAAUUGUUUUAUGUUUUAUAUUUUUAAGAACCGAAAAGAAGAUGUUUUUAAAAAACAUCUUCUAAUUAUUUUAUAUUAUUUUUAUAUGUUUUUUUAAAGUUAUUUUAAGAAAUAAUUAUACAAAUAUGUAAAAUGAUUAAAAAUAAAAUACUAGAUAUAAAAAUUAUUUUUAAAAUAUGUUUUAAAAUAUUAAAAACAUGUUAAAAACAUUUUAGGUAUUCAAAUAGAAUUUUGUUUUACAAAAAUCAAAGAACGGUUUUUAAAAAUUGUUUUUAAAAACUAUUUUUCAAAAUUCUUUUUGAAAGCAGUUACCAAACAUACCAUUUUUUUGCAUUGAGAAGUGUUUUUGUUUUUUGAUAUUUUGUAAAACAAAAAAUUUAUUUGUUAAUUUGAAAUAUUUUUGUGUUGAAUAUGAAAUAUUUUUAACCUAUUUUUAUUUUUUCGUAUUUUUAAAUAUAUUUUAAAAACAAUUUUUGUUUGUAGUAUUUUAUUUUGAAUUAUUUUUCACAUUUAUAUAAAUAUUUUUUUAAAUAGUCAUAAAAAAUAAAUUAAAAAAAUUAAAGGAUAUUAUUUAAAAUACCUUAUGUUCUAUUUUUAAAAAUAAAAACUAUUUUUAUUUUCCAUUUAUCAAAUGUAAUUUUUUUCCUUCCGAAAACAAAAAAUUGUUUUCAAAAAUAGUUACUAGAGAAUGCCCUAAGUACCAAAGUAUUUUGUGGAAGAAUAUAAGGUAAAUUUUUUAUCUUUUGUAAAAUUUUUAUUUUUAAACAUAUAAAAUAGAAAAUAUAUCCAUAUGUAAUUGUAGUAAUUAUUAUAAAUGUUUUAUUUGAAUUUUAGAUAAUUUAAAAAAAUUUCCUAAAAUUUUAUUUAACUUUUAUAAUUUGUUAAGGUCUAGGUUUUUGUCAAGUCUUCAUCUACAUUUAUGUAAAAUUAUGUAGGUUUUCAAAGAUUCUCGGAAAAAUUUAUUUCAUUCUCAUUUUGAUUAUACUGGUUUGUUUUUGUCAAGUCUUUGUCUAGUUUUAUGUAACAUUUUGUAGUUUUCUAAAAAAUCUUGGAAAAUUUUAUUCCAUUCUCAUUUUGAUUGUGUUGUUUUGUUUUUGUCUUCAUCUAGUUUGGUGAGGAGUCAAUAAAUUCAUAACGCGUAAAUCAUAACUUAUUUAAUUUGUUGACUAAGUUAAUAAAUAUGAUUUAAUAAUUUAAUUUAAGUAAUUAAAUAGAUUAAACAUCUUUGAUAAAAUAAUCUAAUAUCAUAAUUUAAUAUAAAAAAUAAUUUUAAGUAUUAAGUCAAAAUGCUUACUCAUUCUUAAUUUUAAAUCUUUUUUACCUAUUAUGCUCACAUGAAAUCUAAUACAAAAAAUUUUAUAAUCUAACUUUGGGUUUUUUUUUCUUUAAUGUUUCAUUAAUUUGAACUCUUAACUAAACAUAAAUAUUUAAGUGCAUAUUUAUUUUUAUAAUGAUAAGUAUUAAAACAAUAUAAAUUAAAUAAUGUAAUAAUUUUUAAAUUAUAAAUAAUAAGAUAGAUAGUGUUUUUAUGUAAAUAAAAUAAAAUACUAUAUUUUUUGUUUUGUUUUAAAUAUGUCUUCACACUUAAAUAUUAUAUAUGUUUUCAAAUAUUAGUUCAUUUAAAUUUAAACUUGUCCUCAUUUCUUUUGAUGAUAUCAAAUAUAAAAGAUAAAAUGUUAUUAAAAGUUUGAAUUAUAUUUAUAUUUCAUAGUUUUUUUACAUUAUUGGUUUGACCACAGUUCAAUUAUCAGUUCCAAUCAAUAAAUCGGUAAUUUUUUUUAUUCAAUGACUGGUCUAGUUCUAAAAACAUUGAUUUAAUGUAUUAAAACAAUUUUAAUAUUUAAAGUAAAAAUAAAAUAUUAUGUUUAUUAAAUAAUAAGUAUUAAGUUUUAUUAGUGAUUAUUUAAAUUUUUAAAAGUGGUUUUAAGAAUUUGUCAAACACCUAAUUUAUCUCAAAAAACACUUUCAUGUAUCACAUAUGAGAGACUUUUAACUUUUUCAAAAUCAUUAUCAAACAUACUUAUGAAAAAUUUUACAAAGAUUUUUUGGUACAUAUUUUUUGUAAGUUGUCAUUGUUUACAUUGGGUUGACUCUUCUAAGUCUUCUUCUUGGUCUUUUAGGUAAACACAGCGUAGCUUGGAAAAUUAUAUGAAUAAAUCCAUCAUUUAUCUCAACAUCAAUAUUUUUUUCUUCAAAUUAUUUGAUAGGAAACCUCGGAAAAUAUUGCCUUGAAAAAUGUGGUUGUAUUCACAUUUUUUCCACGAUAGUAGAGGUCUCAUAUUUUGGCUAUGAACUUUUUGGAAAAUCUAUUAUUAGAAGUAAACAACACGUAACUAAUUAAGUCAUUAAAUUAUUUAGAAAUAGUUUUUUUAAAGGUUCUUAGAAAACUUUACAUUUUUAUUUUGAUUUAUAAUGUCUAAAAAUCCUAUAUUACACUAUAAAUUAUUUUAAAAAUAUGCUAUUAGGAGUAAAGGAAACAAGAAACUUAUAUCAGUAAGAAAAAAUUUCUAUCUUUACCUUUUGAAAUUAGAGAAACUAUAUUUUUUUUAAUUAUAAGAAAUGAUGGAAAAAUAGUCUAAUUGAAAAAAAAAAAAAGGUAAAAGAGAAAAAUGUUUGUUUUAAAACAUAAUUUUUAAAUAUAAACCUAAAAAUAUCAAAUGUAUUAUCAUUAAUAUUUGAAAUUAUCAAAAUUUGUGAGAUAAUAAUUUCAUUUUGUUCUCCAUUAUAUAUUUAUGUUUAUAUUAAAUUUAUUUUCAUUAAUUUUUUUUAAUAUAUUAUUAUUUUGUGUUUAAUGGGAUAAUAUUUUCAUUUUUUUUUUGUAUAUUAUCCAUUUAUGUUUAUAUUAAUUUAUAUAUAUAUAUAUAUAUAUAUUAUCAUUUUGUGUUUAAUGUACAAUAAUUUUUUUUUUUGUCUAUUAUGUAUUUAUGUUUAUAUUAAAUUUGUUUUAUUAAUUAUCUUUUAUAUAUAACCAUUUUUUAUUUAAUGUGUUUAAAAAAAAUUAAAAUUUAAAAGAUGUAAUGAGAGAAAGUGUAGUGAGAAAUAAAUAAAUAAAUAUGUGUCGAAAACUUAGAUAAGGUAACAUGGAGGAGAAAAGAGAAAAAAAAAAUUGACUCAAUUGUGUCAAAAACCCGUAAAGGUUUUUGUGUGAAUCUCAUUCUUUUUAUUCCAUUUCUUCUAUCAUCUCUUAUAUUUUCCUUUUUCAUGUAAGCACGUUAAAAGUUUACCAAAGUUGCGAUUAAUUAAAAAAUAUUGCCUGUUCACAUUUUGAUUCAUUCAUGAUGUUUAAAUGUUUUGCAUGUAUUUGGGUUCUAGCCCUUCCAAAAAUCCACUAAUUUUUGUGUUUUGGAAAAUCCUCACCUAGUUCAUAUUUUUUGUGUUCUCAUUCUUCAUUAAGUUAGAAGACAAUCUUAGUGAGUGUCAAUGUUCACAUUACUUUUAUUGCAAUCCACUUGAGCGGAGACAAGGAAAUUUCAUUCAUGGUGGUCUUCCCACUAAAUUAAGGUGAUUGAGAUUUGUUUCGAUGGGUCAAUAUCAUGAAUUAUGUGAACACCAAUAUUAGAGGUUGUAGUAGUAGACUAUAAAAGUGUUGCCUAACUUGGGGUGUUUUCCGGAAGAGAGCCUCUUAGACACCAAUAUUCGAAAGCACUUAUCUUGAUUAUGGGGGUAAAAAAUGAAGUAGUUUUUGUUUUAGCUUAUGUUUGGUUCUUGGAAAACACUAAGGAAAGAAAAAAAAUGUAAAAGAAAAUGAUUUUUUUCAUGUUUAAUUAUCUUAUGAAAAAUAUCAAAGAAAACCAAAUAUAAUUAUAACUAGUUAGAAAUUUAUAUAUAUUUAAAUUAUUUAAUCUUUAUAUUAAUGAGUUAAAAUAAGUAAAAUGAGUUUAAAAUAACAAAUAAAAAUAAUUUAUAGACUCUUAAUCUAUUUUUUAUUUUCCUUUACUUUUUAUUUCCUUUUACUUUUCCUUUGCAUUUUUUUUCCCUUGCAUUUUUCCUUAAAUUUUUUGAGAACCAAACAUAGCCUUAGGAAACAAAAGAAGUAGUCCAAAAGUAUUUUGUAUAUGAAUAUAAGGUAAAUUCCUAUCUUAUGUACAAUUUAUAUUUUUAAAAAUAAAAAAUGGAAAAUAUAUGUACAGACAACCUUAAUAAUUAUCAUAAAUAUUUUAUUUGAACUUCAAAUUUUCUUUUCAUUUUUCAUUUUAUGAUUUAAAAGUUUUAUUUUUUCUAAAAUUUCAUUCAACUUUUAUAAUUUGCUAUUGUUCGCUUUUGUUUUUGUCAAGUCUUUGUCUAGUUUUUCAAAGAUUCUUGGAAAAUUUUAUCUCAUUCUCAUUUUGAGCGUGUUGUUUUGUUUUAGUCACGUCUUUAUCUAGUUUUAUAAUGAGUCCACAAAUCCAUACUGCGUAAAUCAUACGUAAUUUUUUUUUUUUGACUCAUUAUGAAUAUUUUAUUUAACUUUUAAAUUUUCUUUUAAUGAUCAUUUGCGUUUGUGAAGGGUCAUUCUUUUCAUUUUGUUUGACUUCUCAAAUCUCAUUUUCAUGUGAAACUUUGUAGGGUUUUCCAAAGGCCCUUGGAAAAUAUUGCCUUAUUCAUUAUGAAAUCUUCCAAAAAUCCAUGACGGGCAAUAAAUAAGGUAUAAGCUUAAUUGAGUGAUUACAUUAUUUAGAACUUAUAUAGGAUUGAUUUUAGGUAAAGCAUUCUUAAUUUGUAGUAGUCUUUGUAAUUAGUGUUUUUAUUAGAAAAACUUUUUAAGAAAAAUCAAUUAGUGCUUAGAUAUAAUAACAAAAAAAAAUAUAUAUAUUUUUAUAGUAUUUUUAGUAAUGUGUUAUAUAUAACAAAAAAAAAAAAAACAUAAAAUCUCCUAACAUGUGAUCAUCCAUGAAUCACUUUAGAUGAUUAACUAAAAUUUUAAAAUAACUUUAUGAUUAUCAUUCUUUAAUUUCGGUUGACUCUUCUAAGUCUACUUAUUGGUCUUUUAUGUAAAUAUGCUAUAGUUUGGAAAAUUCUAUCCAUCAUUAAUCAACAUCAAUCGUUGUUUUCUUUAAAUGAUUUGAUGGGAAAGCCUACCUCACAUGGAAUAUGGAGUGCCUUUGUUUAAUGGAUUUCAAUUGCAUGCUCCUGGAAAUUAUGCCCUAAUCCAUAUUUUUUUGCGUUGAUAUGGUGAGUUGUUGAAGAUGUAUUUCAUUUUCUUGAAAAGAAAUAAUUAGUGCAUAAACAUUUUUGAAAUAUUAAAUUAAAGAGGAAAAUGACACCAUACUCCCAUAAGAUUCAAUAUAUUUGUUUAUUUGUUAAAGAAGUAAAUAAUUAAUUAAUCAAAGACUUUAAAGGAAAUAUUUGUGUGAAUUAAAAAUAUAUAUUUAAAUUAUAAAGGAUUUAGAUAGGAAAGAAACAGAGGUUUUAAAUGUAUAAACUUGCAUGCAACAAAGGGAAUUUGUUGUCAUUGUCUACUGCCUUCUUUGUUACGUUAGAAGAGAGACAGCUGGGUGAUGAGCAUUUGUGUUCGAUCACAUUUACUUUUAUUGCAUGCAGUCCGCACUUAACUGAAAACAAGAAAUUAAUUCAUGGACCACGAGGACAUUAAUAUUAAUAUUAGAGACGUGAGCAGUAGACUGACUUGACUUGGUGUGUGCUUCCGGGAAGAGUCUUUCUUAGUCUUAGGCACCAACUAAUAUUUAUAUUUAUAUUUGCAUUAUAAAAGUGUGGUAAGGUUUAAUUGAUUGCGCAGAAUUAAAGAUGGCGUCCUCCAUUAUUAUUUUUACAGCAGUGGUGGUAGUUACCAUCACCAGUACCAUGAUGAUAAUGUUAUUCCCCCUUGCCAAUGCAAUAUCAUCACCAUCUUCAUCAACUGAUGAGGCAGAGGCUUUGCGCAGCACCGGUUGGUGGAAUUCUACCUCUGCUCAUUGCCACUGGGAUGGUGUAUUUUGCAAUAAUGCCGGAAGAGUGACUGGAAUCGCCCUUUACGGUUCAGGAAAAGAAUUGGGUGAGCUUAGCAAAUUGGAUUUUUCUUCAUUUCCCAGCCUGGUUGAGCUCUCCCUUUCUGACUGUGGACUCAAUGGUAGCAUCCCACACCAAAUAGGUACUCUUACUCAACUCACCUAUCUUUCUCUCGGUCUUAACAAUCUUACAGGUGAGCUACCUCUUUCCUUGGCUAACCUCACUCAGUUGGAGGUCCUUUCCUUUUAUUCUAAUCGACUACAUGGUUCGAUUCUUCCUGAAAUUGGGAAAAUGAAGAAUUUGACUGUUUUGGAUUUGGGUAAUAACAACCUUACUGGUGUCAUCCCUUCCUCUUUUGGUAAUCUUACCAAUCUGACAUUUCUUUAUCUUGAUGGUAAUAAAAUAAGUGGUUUUAUCCCUCCUCAAAUUGGGAAAUUGAAGAAUCUGAGGUUUCUCUAUCUUUCUUCUAACGGACUACAUGGUCCAAUUCCUCCUGAAAUUGGGAAAUUGAAGAAUUUGGAGGUGCUUUAUCUUUUUUAUAACAAACUACAUGGUCUAAUUCCUCCUGAAAUUGGGAAUAUGAAGAAAUUGAUUUUUUUGAAUCUACGUAGUAACAACCUUACUGGUGUCAUCCCUUCAUCUUUUGGUAAUCUUACCAAUCUGAAUUCUCUUACUCUUCGAGGUAAUCAAAUCAGUGGUUUUAUUCCUCCUGAAAUUGGGUAUCUUUUGAAUUUAUCAUAUCUAGAUCUCAGUGAGAAUCAAAUCAGUGGUUUCAUCCCUGAAGAAAUAGUGAAUUUGAAGAAAUUGGGUCAUUUGGACAUGAGUAAUAACUUAAUACGUGGAAAGAUACCUUCACAAUUGGGAUAUUUGAAAGAAGUAGAAUACUUCAAUCUCUCCCAUAAUAACCUCUCUGGCACAAUUCCUCAUUCUAUUUCUAAUAACUACAUGUGGACGUCAAUUGAUUUAUCACACAAUCAGUUGGAGAGUCAGUCCACAACUCCACAUGAGGCAUUUGGCCACGACAAAGGUUUAUGUGGUGGAAUCAACGGUUUGUCGCAUUGUAAGAAAAGACACCAAAUCGUUCUCAUCGUUGUUAUUUCUUUAUCUGCAACCUUGUUGCUUUCAGUUACAGCCCUUGGGUUUCUCUUCCAUAAACAAAAGAUAAGAAAAAAUCAAUUAUCGAAGACAACAAAGGCAAAAAAUGGAGAUUUGUUUUCCAUAUGGGACUAUGAUGGUACGAUUGCAUAUGAUGACAUCAUCCAAGCAACUGAAGAUUUUGACAUCAAAUACUGUAUAGGCACCGGAGGCUAUGGGAGUGUUUACAGAGCACAACUGCCUAGCGGAAAAGUGGUUGCCUUAAAAAAACUUCAUAGUUGGGAAAGAGAGGAUCCAACUUACCUGAAAAGCUUUGAAAAUGAAGUUCAAAUGUUAUCAACAAUACAACAUCGUAAUAUUGUGAAACUUCAUGGCUUUUGUCUACAUAACAGAUGCAUGUUUCUCGUUUACAAAUAUAUGGAAAAAGGAAGCUUGUAUUGUAUGUUGAGGGAUGAAGUUGAGGUCGUGGAAUUGGAUUGGAUUAAAAGGGUAAAUGUUGUUAAAAGCAUUGCUAGUGCUUUAUCUUACAUGCAUCAUGACUAUGUCAUGCCCAUCAUUCAUCGAGACAUAUCAAGUAACAACAUUUUGCUGGAUUCUAAGCUUGAAGCUUGUGUAUCGGAUUUUGGCACUGCAAGACUGUUAGAUCCCUACUCAUCCAAUCAAACCCUUCUUGUAGGCACUUACGGUUAUAUUGCACCAGGUAAACUAGACUAUACUCUUCACUAGUUUUUAAUUGCUUAUGAAUAUUUUCAAUUGUCACACCCUCAAAAAAAUUCAAAUGUUUUUUAGAGAAUUCAAAACAUUUUAUAAGUUUUCUUUAUAUACAAAACAUAAAUACUCAUUUUUUUCCCUAUAUUUUGUAGAGCUUGCUUAUACUAUGGUUGUGACUGAAAAAUGCGACGUUUAUAGCUUUGGGAUGGUUGCAUUGGAGACAAUGAUGGGAAUGCAUCCAGGAGAACUUGUCACCUCAUUAUCAUCUUCAUCAACUCAAAACACAACAUUAAAGGAUGUAUUAGAUUCACGUCUUUCAUCUCCUAAAAGUACAAGAGUUGCUAAUAAUGUAGCUCUUAUUGUGUCAUUGGCGCUCAAAUGUCUCCAUUCUAAUCCACGUUUUCGUCCAUCCAUGCAAGAAGUGUCUUUGAAACUUGUUUCUACAAAGUCAUUCCCACAACCCAUCAGUGCAAUAUCACUUUUGCAACUAAAAGACGAAGUUAUUUAAAUGACAUGUGAGUUGGUAUGUAAUUGGAGUGAAGAUGUUUAUUUUCCAUUCUUCUUUUUCAUGCAUGUUAGUAAUGAGAAUUUUAUAGUAUAUGUAUCCCUUCUUUCCUAUUAAUUACUCAAAUGUAGCUUUUCUAUUUGUUUUCCAAAGUGACAAUAGUGUAAUGUGAUGAAAAAAAUUAUAUCAAAUUGAUACAUAAUGAUAUGUAAACUUUGAAUGAUUCAUAAUGGUUAAUCUUUAUAAUGAUCCUUCUUUGGAGAAGAAUCCUUCUUUUUCUUUUAUCAAUUUUAACAUAUAUACCAUUUUCUCAAUUUUAAUAUUCUAAUCAAUCAAAUUAGUGAUAUUUGUUGUGAAUGUGAUUGGUAGCUAUUAUCAAAGGCAUAUGAUAAAAUUGGGGAAAAAACAAAUUGAAUAAUUUCAAUAUGAUUGUCUCUACAUGAUGAAGUUAUUCUAUUUAUUUUUAAAAUACUAUUUUACCCAUUUUUCCUAUACAUUCUCUAAAAUUUUGUAUAAAAUAAAAUUAUUUGAUUUUGUAUAAGAACACUUAAAAAUGUUGAUGGGAAUGUGAAAUAUUAGGAUGACACUCAAACACCAAAUGACAUACUUGUGAUGCAAUAUUAAGAAAUUAUCAUAAUAUUUUACGAUUUGUCUCUACUAUGUAGUCACCUAUAAAUGUCAAUUUUAAAAAUAUUUAAUGAUCAAAGAAAAUUAAGUGAGAUAUGAUUAAAAAAUUCUAAAAAUUUUAUUUGCCCAUUCUAGAAUAAUAGAAAAGAUAUUCAUACUACUAAUUUUAUUAAGAUGAGAUACCUAGUUGAUAUAGUGUCCUUGCUUUUACAUAAAAUUAGACAUUAGAUUUACUUAAAUUAUUUUCAUAAUAGUGGCAUAUUUAUAAAAUAUAUGAAACUAAUUAAAUUGAAUAAUUGAGGUAACUAUGAAUAUAAGUAGGUCAUUAAUGCUCCUCGUUUUAUUGAAAUAUUAUAAAAGAAGCAUUAUUUCGGUUUCAUAUCUAAAGUUUUUUUUUUUUUUUUUUCCAACUCCAAUUGGUGUAUAUAGAUCCGAUUUUGUAGUGCAGGCCGGCAGCCAAUAGGAUUUCCUUCACAGAAAAGAAUGGACACAUGAACUACACAAAAACCAGACCAAGAAAUGAGUGUGGUGUUCUCUCCUGCCUUGGCUGGAAUUCCCACAUCACAACUGCCCUUCUUCACUCCAAAACCAGGUUCUUUUCUCUUUUCCUGUUUCUCAAUUCCCACAAUUCUCAUUCAUACUUAUUGUUAUUUCCCCCUUGUUCAGUUUUAAUAUGUUCGUAUCCUAAUUGAUCUUCAAUGCUCUUAGUCAAGUCCAAGAGUUGCAGAUUGAUUCUUGGGGCGUCAAUUCCAUUACUAAUAGCAGUAAUAAUAGUGGCAAGAGAGCUCAAUUGCCGGGUCACAAGGUCAAAUAUUAUUAUUCUUGUAUAAAAGAAAAUAAUUUUUAAUCUUUUUGUUUUAGAAAAAAUAAAAAAUAGUGUGGCUUUUUCAAAUAUAUUCAUCCCACAACUUCUUAUCCUAAUUUUCCCUAAAAUAUAUGAUAGAAUAUUUAUCUUAUAUAUUAAAAAUAUUUAAUUACAAAGGUCUUUUAGUCUUUAAACAUAAACUUGCAGCAAGGGAAGUGGUUGUCAUGGUCUACAUUUUUUGCGAUGCUAGAAGACACAGAGCUGGGUGUUAUGCAUUGAAAAGAAUCAGGUGGAUGCCAAUACAAGAGACUUGAGCCGUGUACUAAAAAAGAGUUGCUUGUCUUGGUGUGUUUGUAGGAAAAAUUGAUUAUUAUUAUUAUUAUUAUUGCAAUGUGAAAAAUAGAUGUACUAAGUGUAGAUUCUAAAAUUUGACUUCAAUUUAUUUUUAGAUUUUGAAUUUAAUUUUAUUCUUAAAUUUCAAUUCAAUUACACUUGAUUUUUAUUUCGAUUUACUUGUGACAUUUAAAUAUUAUUUUAUAUUAUUUUAUUUUAUUUUUAUUUCAUAUUUUAUUUUACCUUUUUUUCUUCUUUUUUGUUUUUCCCUUCUCUUCCCUCUUCUCGCUUAUCCUCACAUACCCACACUUUCCCCCCAUACCUCUCACGUCAGGAGACACCUCUCCUCUCCUCGCUUUUCCUUUUUUUCUCUCUCCAUUUUUUCUUCCUUUUUCUUCCCCUCAUUUUUUUCCUUUCUUUCUCCUCAUUUUUCCCUCUCUUUCUCUUCUUCCUCUCGCCCAUCACUCUACCCACACCUCCGGCACGGCACCAUCUCCCCUACUCCCCCAUCUUUCUCCAUUUUUUUUUUCUUUCUCAACCCAAACCCACUACACUACACCACCUAUUGCGCCAGUCACCGUGGACCAGUGGGCGACGCCACCUCCGACAGCCAACGACCACCUCCCAAUCCCAUCAUCUCAUCUCUCGUCUCAUCGCUUUUUCAUUUUUAUUUUAUUUUAUUUUGUUUUAUUUUCACAACAUACAGCAUCCAACAACCUUCCUUCAUCUCCAAAAAAAUGUGUAAGUUUAUUUAUGUAUAUUUUUUUUUUUUUGCUUUGAUUUCAAUAAUAAUUGUUAGUAAGAUUUGGGAUUGUUAAUUAACAUUAAACUUGGAUCCAUUUGUUAUUGGUGAAAUUUCUUGGAUAAUAUUUAAUAUGAUAAUAUUGUGGUAUAUUUUUGUUACAUUCAGACUUUAUAUAUUAAAUUGCGGCUUAAUUUAUUAAAUUAGGUUUGGAUGAUGAGAUAUUAAAUUUUUACAUUUAAUUGAAUUUAUUUUAUUUUAUUACAUUUUGAGCUUGAUUGAUUAUGUUUGUAUUGACUAUUAAGUUAGAAUUUUGAACUAAGGCUUAUAACAUAUAAGAUAUUUUUUUUGGGCUUUAUUUAUUAAUUUAGGCCCAAUUUUAUUGAUAAAAUUUAUUGGGCUAAUUUGAGAUUGCUUUUGGGCUUAUUAAAAAACUUUGUACAUUUUUAAAAAUUUAUUUUGGUCUGAUUUUUGUUUUGUUGUGCCCAUUCCUCAAUUUAUUUGUUUAAUAAAAAUUGUUAAGAAAAUUGAUUUUUUUUUAAAAUAAAAUUGUCCACAAGGUUAAUUUUUAAUAAAAUUGUUAAAAAAUGAUUUUAAAUAAAUCCUCUUUCCUUAAUUAGAAUGAGAUUAAAAGUAAUUUUUCUUAAUUGGGGUUUUAAAUAAUUUUUUUAAUGAGAAUAGGAUCAGGGUCAUUUUCGUAAAUAAAGUUUGUAAAGAAAUUAAUUCCUUUGUAACUAAAAUCAAAUUGAAAUACUUUUCUAAAUAAAGUUGUAAAAAUCCAUUCUUUUUUUUAGUAAAAGCAGGUAAAAAUUAUUUUUAUUGUCAAAUUAAUUUUUUUUUUAAAUUCUUUUAAUAAUAGUAAGUGUAAAUAACUUUCUUAAAAUAAGAAUUAAAUCAAAUCACUUCUUGAAAAUAAAUUAAAGCCUUUUUGGUAAAUAAAUAAAUUAAAAUCACUAAUUUGAAAUUAUUUUUAAUGGACUCCUUCAGAAUUUCUAGAAAAACCAAAUUUUGAAAUAUCAAUUUUUAAAUUAGUUUAAUAAAUUAAUUUGUUUAAUUCUCAUGUCAUUUGUUUUGUACAUUCUUAUGAUAUGACUUUGUCAUUAUGUUUAUGUAUAUUUAUUUGUGUGUCCUUAAUCUUGGUAUUCAUAAUUAAUUAAUUAAUUAAUUAUCAUAAUUUCCUCGAUUCGUUUAAUAGACACGGUAGGUAUAUGAGUUUAGAGGUAUGUUAUGACUUAUCAUCGUAUCUUCUCAAUAGGUAACUUGACCCUGAAGGUAAACUUAGUUUUUGUAGAUAUGUCUUUUCCAAAUAAGGAAUCAUAUAAAGUUUUCUUUCUUAUUUUAUCUUUUUUUAAAAAAAUAAAUUAAAAUAAGUGGCAAAUCCAAUUCUUUUAUAAAAAAAAAUAAAAAAUUUCACAAAUAAAAAGUAAGUCUUACAGUUGGAGUGGGGACACAUGUGGAGGAGUGGGGACACAUGUGGAAAACACGGUUUAUAGUAAAUUUGAAAAGACAAUCUCCAAAGUUGGCUUUACCAUUAUUAUUAUUUUUUUUUUAUUUUAUCAAAGAUAAGUUGAAAAAAUAUAUUUUAUAAAUAUAAUAAAUUUAUAGGGUGCUAAUGGAUGAAAUAGUCAAGUGUAUUUACAACAAAUCUCAAGAGGUCCAAAAUAUGUUUUUUUUUAAAUAAAUGAAAAAAAUGAAUGAAAAUUAAAUAAAAUAUAAAAUAUAAACCCUUCAUCAUUGAUACAAAGGACAAAAAUUUAGAAGAAAAAUGUUUCAUCAUUACCUUCUCUAAUUAAAAAAAAAAACCUAUAUUUGUUUUAACCAUAAUAAUCAAAGAAAAAAAAGGUAAAAAAAGAAAAUGGAAGGUGAAAAAUGAAAGUUUCCGGUCAAAAUAUAUAUAUAUAUAUAUAUAUAUAUAUAUAUAUAUAUAUAUAUAUAUAUAUAUAUAUAUAUAUAUUCUAAAUUUUCAAUCUAAACUUGUGUUAAAAAUAUUUGUCAAAAAGUAGUGUGUCCAUACAACAUCAAGUUUCACUUUGUUAUUAUUAUUAUUUGUUUUAAAACCAUAAUUAUUAAAUGUGAUUUUAGUUUUAAAACUAUAUUAAUGAGGGUAAAACCAAUAUUGGUAACUAUGGUUUUAAAUUUAAACCUAAAACCAUAAUUGAUAACCGUAAUUUUUUAUAUUAAACAAAAAAAGUUAAGUGAAUGUGUAGACCCGGGAGGAGUUUUUGGGGAUUUUCUACAUGAUUAUUCUUCUGACCACCCCGGGAAUUAAGUUGAUGGGGGCGGCGAGAUUGGACAGGAAACAGAGAGUAGGUAUGAGCUUGUAGAGGAAGUUUUCGGAGGAGGGGGACUGCUGUUCGCCGGAGAUGGGAGCAAAAGGGUAAAAGGAAAAGAAAGAAAAAAAGAGCAGAGAGAUGCAGGGAGAGGAAAAAGAAAGGGGGGAAUGCAGGGAAAGGGAGCGAGAAGAAAGGGGGCCUCCAGAAUUUUUCCCGAGUAAGCUUUUCCAUUAUGUUUUUCUUUCUUUCUUUGUUUCUCUUCGUAUAUUAUUAUUGAGAUGCAUUGUUGUUGAUUUCUGGAUGGGUUAUCCUCUGUCCCUCCUGGCCGGCUGUUCCUCUUUUGCUUAUGUGUAUGUUUGAAGAUUGAUUUAAUUCCGUUUUACCUUCUCUGGGAUAUUUUCAAAGAAAAGAGACUUUCUGACUCACUCUUCUUCAAGCCCACUAACUAAGAGAGGAAACAUAGUUCUUAAUGUUUCCUUUAUUUCUCUCCUUCCAUUGCUCUGUUUUUGCUGCUAUUCUCUCUGUUUUUCUUGCUUGGUUUUUCCCGAAUGUGAAGCCGUAAAGGGGAAUGGGUCUAUGGGAUAUUAUCACGCAACUCAACCCUCACCAGUCACCAUUCUCCCUUUACUGCAUCUUCUUCUCGAUCCCCCCAUUUCCCCCGCUUUCUACUCUAUAGAUCAAAACUACGACUACGGCAAAUUAUAGAAGCGGAUGCUGUGUUGAAAGCCCAUCUCUAUGACUGAAGCUGCUGCCGGUGGCGCUACUACUAUCCAUGACCUACCGGAUGUGAUUUUGUCGAGCAUAUUGGCGAGCGUGACCGGCACCAAGGCAAGGAACGCCGCGGCGCUGGUUGGCUGGAAAUGAUUGGUGUCGGAGAGGGGCACGCGGACCUCCCUCACCCUCCGUGGCAACGCCGUUCACAGCAAUCUGUACAGGAUCCCGACUAACUUUCAGGCCGUGACUCACCUUGACUUCUAGCUCAUCUUCUUUGCCAUGCCUUUCUGAUGGUGACCCCGCUCACUGUCCAUGCUCGCACUCCGGCCACUCUCCAACUCCUGGCUCCCCAAUGGCUCAAUCUCACCCACAGCAGCCAUUUCGUCCAUCAAACAGUCACUCCCAGAGAUGAAGCCUGCCACUCAUCACCAUUGCCGCCUUCCUCUUCAUCAAGAUCUCCGUCCAGCGCUGGAGACGACGGUGAGACCAGCAGCGCCGGCCAUGGCAGCGGCGGUGCGAGCGCCAGCAGAAACAGCAACUGUUGGUUUUUAAACCAGAUAAUUAAAAGAAAAACGGAAGCCAAAAAAAUUUUCUCAAAUUUUUUUUUUUCUCAAUGAUCAAUACUUGUAUUAAUUUAAUGAAAUAACAAAUAUAGGUAAUUUAGAAUUGUACCUUGCGAUUAGGCUGAUAAAUUUGAACUCCACCAAAAGGAUCUUAGAAUUCCAAAUCCUCUAAAGCACCAUGGAUCUUUCUCUAACGUUCUCCAAAAAAUGAUGAACUCAAAACGAGUGGGCGUUUUUCAUUCUUGGGUUAUUUUUUUUUUAUCACACAACUUAAUAUAUAUUGAAAACUUGUAUUCUUAUCCCAUCAUCCGAGAAACAUUGAGAAAAAAAAAACUUUUUAAUACCACGAAAUAACUGACAUAUUUUGAAUUUUGAAAAACAUGGGAGAGAAUAUCUCUCCCCAUGAUCCCCACUUAAAAAGUGUUUCUUAGGGAAUACAAGUAAGUGUGGUCUUCACCACAUUGUAUCAAAAAAUAUUUUAAAUAAUCAUAUUAUAAAAUAAAUAAAUCAAAUCAAGAUUGUGUGAAAUUAAUUUAGAAUUCAAAAUUCCAAACUAAUAAAAUCAACCCAACAUAAAAAAAAUGUUCAUAUAAUUUUAAUGGAGCCGUUGAGAGGAACUAUGGACAUUAUAAUUUUAAGCUCCAAUAACUUUGACAAUUAAUUAACAACUUAAUUAAAAAAUCAAAAUUAUUAAUUCCAAAAUUACUCCACUAAAAAUUUGGAAUUGCACUCUUAAAAUUAUAAAAUUAAAUAUAUUCAAAGGAUUUGAAUUGCCCAUUGAUAUAGUCACUACAUACGAGUCAAUCCUCCAUAAACGGUUCAUAAUUAAAGCUAGGUUUUUCCGUUAACCUCUUUAAUUAUAUCUUUCUCCUUAAGUGUCAUUGGUUCUCUAAUGAAUAAUAUAUUUAUGGUCUAAUCAUAAAUUGAGCGCUCUUAUCAUUCAAGGCCCGAACCAAUACUUAUGGGAACCGUCCAUCUGACUUCUUAACGAAGGAAUGGAUUUCAUCUUGUAUAUUAAUAUUCCCGGCUAUUUAUUUUAUUAUACUUCCAAUACACCAAGAAUUUGACACUAUGUAUUUGUGUCAUUACCCGGUAUGUAAAAAAAUACAAUAGAAUAAAUAGGAGUCUAUUAAUCACUCAGAAUUAAGAUCAAUGCAUAUAUGACCAUCAUUGAUUAAUAUUGAAUGCUCUAUAUUAUAACGGAAUUUAUCAGAGAUUCAUAAUUAAUCGUGUUCCAGUCCUAUAUAAUCAAAUUAUAUAAAGCGCUUUCAUUCCAAUAAUCUCAUUAUUAACAAUCCGGAUAAGAUCAUUUCAUUCAGAAUGUAAUGAACCGCGCUAGUAAUUUUAAAUUAAAGAUCCCAACUUUAAUUUUUAAUUACGAAUAUAUUAGAUUAUUUUACUUUAAAUAUUAUCCUCUUGUAUAUAACACUUAUAUACAAUAUUUAAAGUUACAAUUAAAUAAUCUAGGGUUUUCGAUAUUCAUAAAGCAUCUAUAACAUGCAUGCAACAAUAAUAUUGAAAUAAUUCCUAAAAAAAAUAUUAAUAAUCAGCAAAAUAAAAAACAUCUCAUUUGUUUAUGGGCACAUAUUCCAACAGCAACCCCCACCUCUAUUCCUUCAUACCAUCAUGGCCAUCAUUGACAUGAAGGCCCUAUCCUCCCCCCCCCCCCCCCCCCCCCCCCGUGGGCUUGCUAUCAGUUGGCCACCCUUUUUGUUCUUUUAAAAAUAAGGUGGCAGCACCUCUAGAUCUUCAUGGUGGAUGUUUGGCUGGUGGGCUUUGUUGGUGGGCUCCCAAAGCCCAGGUUGUAUGUUAAGAUUAGUUCACAUGGGCCUUAAGCCCCAUCCCCCAAGUUCGGGCCAAGUAUACAGCCCUCUCGAGUCUUUUCUUUUAAUGUUAUAAAUAUGUUUUUCCUAUGAAGAUUUUAAAAUCAGCUGUACAAAACAUCAUUUUCGAAAUAACUUCCUAAAAUUUAAUUUUAAAUUCAGUUUGCAAAAUUUUGAUUCUUGAAAAUUCAAUCCCGAAAAUUCCCCUAUGCAAUUAUACUCGUUUAAAUAUUAGGAUUAUUAAUUAUUAUUAUUUUAUAUGUAUCGAUUUAUCAUCUUUUAAAAAUCUCAUUCAUUAAAGUCUAAUCCUUCAAAAAUUCUAUGUUUUAAUUUAAAUUUUCAAUUCUAAAAAUUUCACAAUUUGUUUAAAUCCCAUUUUCAUCAACUAGAAUUAUCCUCCUAUAUUUAUCUAUUUAAAUUCUAAUCCUUCAAAAAUUCCAUGUUUUGAUUUAAUCUUUUAAUCCUAAAAAUUCUACAAUUAAUUUAAACCUUACUUUCAUCAAUUAGAAUUACCCUCCCAUAUUUACUUAGUUAUUUAAGGUCUAAUAUUUCAAAAAUCCCAUAUUUUAAUUUAAUUAUUCAAAUAUUCGUUUAAAUCUCAUUUUCAUUAAAUAGAAUCAAUAUCUCAUAUUUAUCUAGUCUAAUAUUUCAAAAAUCCCAUGUUUUAAUUUAAUUCUUCAAAUAUUCGUUUAAAUCUCAUUUUCAUUAAAUAGAAUCAAUAUCUCACAUUUAUCUAGUCUAAUAUUUCAAAAAUCCCCUGUUUUAAUUUAAUUAUUCAAAUAUUCGUUUAAAUCUUAUUUUCAUCAAUUAGAAUCAUUAUCUCGUGUUUAUUUAGCUAUUCAAAGUCUAACCUUUUCAAAAAUCCCUUGUCUCAAUCUAAUGUUUCUAUAAUUCAUUUUGAAUCUUAUUUUCAUCGAUUAGAAUUAUUAUCACGCACUUAUACACUUAUUUAAAGUCCAAUAUUUCAAAAACCCCAUGUCCUAAUUUAAUUUUUCAAUCCUAGAAAUUCCAUUAUUCGUCCAAAUUUUAUUUUUGUUAAUUAGAAUUCUUAUUCCAUAUCUAUUUAUUUAUUUAAGGCCCAAUUCUCCAAAAAUCCAACUUCUGAAUUAAAUUUUCAAUCCAAAAAAUCCUACUAUUCAUCUUUAUUCGCCUAAAUAUUAUUCUUGUUAAUUAGUGUUAUAAUCCCAUACUUAUCUAUUUAUUCAAAGCCUAAUCCGUCGAAAAUCCAACGCCCUAAUUUGAUUUUCAAUUAAAAAGAUUCCGCUAUUCAUUUAUUCGUAUAAACAUUAUUUUUGUUAAUUAGCAUCAUUAUUCCAUACAUAUUUAUUUAUUUAUUCAUUUCAAUCAUUAAAAUUCAAUUCUUCAAAAUCGGAUUUCCAAAUUUAAUCUUUAGACUAAAAAAUUUCACUAUUCACUUUUAUUCAUUCAAAUAUCAUUUUUGUUAUCAUUAUUAUAAAUUCCACGUUUACUUAUUUCUUUCUUCUAAAAAUUCCAAUAAUUAAAGUUCAAUUAUUCAAAGAUUCGACUUUCAAACUUAAUUUUCAAAAUCCCACUAUUCACUUUCAUCCGUUCCAACAUCAUUUUUGUCGAAAUUCGCAUUUCAAAUUAAUUUUUAAUCUCACAAAUCUCACUAUUCACUUUCAUCCGUCCAAAUAUCGUUUUGAUUAAUUAAUAACAUUGUUCCAUAUUUACCUAUUUAUUUCUCUUAAAAAUCUCAAUCAUUAAGGUCUAAUUCUUCAAAAUUUCGAUUUUUAAAUUUAGCUAUUUGAAACUCCAAUUGUCCAAUCUCCGAACUUAAUUUUCAGUUUCCCAUGCUCCAAUUCCCGUAUUUAUCCCGCUACUUAUUAUUAUCAUUAUCAUUAUCAUCUUAUUCAUUAUUUCUAUAAAUUCUGCAUUCGAAUGAUUUCUAAGAUUUCCAAUUUUUACACAUCAACUUUCAUAAUUUCUAUUUCUCAAAUAACUUACGAUUCUGAUCUCUUUCAAAAUUCAACUCCCAAAGUCUCAAUUUUCGCAACUUAAUCUUUCUUUAAAAUCCCGAACCCUCAAAUCAUCUUCAAAAUUCCAACCUCUUUCAAAUUCAGUUCCUAAAAAUUCUCAUUCUCACAUUCAAUCUCUAAAAGUCUAAUCUCCAAAUAAACUCUAAAACUCCAAUUUUCUAGUGAACUUCGAGAUUCCAAUUUUUCAAUUAAAUUUCAAAAAAUCUGAUUUUCUCUUAAAUAGCUUAAUUCCAUUCUGGUCUUCAAAACAAUCUUCUGCUCCUCUGUUUUAAAAAAUGUUUUGAAAUAAACAAAUAAUCAAAUUUUGUAAUUCUGAAUAAUGGAAUUUACGGAUUUGGUCCAUUUGAUAAAUGGGUAUUGGUGGGAGCCCAACAUAUGCGACUUUAUAACUGAUUGAUUUAGUUGUCAUGCAUGAUUGUUUCUAUUCUGUCCUAUGACAUGCUUGAAAUCAUUCUUUAAUUGUGCACUAACCUCACUUUUUGAUAAGCGCAUUGUGGCUCGUCACUCAGGUACGUAUCUAUUCCCAUUCCGGUAUUUCCAUAUACAUGUUUUGAUUCUCCUAUGUGCAUGAUAAUUCCGGGUAUUCAUUGUUUUCCUCAUCAAUUGCCAUGAUUGCUUUAUUUUAUUAGUAGAGACCCGACUUUAGGGGCUUAGAGGGGUGCUACGGUCUUUACCAUACCUUCCUGAUGAGUAACUUGACCCCCGAACCCGAUCCAGUUUUUCAUAGACCACCUUUUCCAAAAUAAGGAGUCACACUUAGGGUUUUUCUUUCUUAUUUUGUUUACCCUUUAAAAAUAAAACAAAAAUAAGUGGCGACUCCAAGUCAUUUUUAAUCAAUAAAUCAAUUUUUUAAAUAAAAAUCGAGCUCGUCAUCAAGUGGGAAACGCAUGAGCCGAAAUGCGGGGUCCACAGAAUGAUUACGUUAUUACAAAGGUUAGAUUGGUAAAUAUUUUGGGAGAAAAUCUAUUUUCAUUAUUUUUUUUUUCAAAAGCACUUGAGAAAUGAUGUAAGUAUAUUAAUUUCAUACGUGCACUUAGUUAUUUUUUAAAAUUUAUAAAAAUAUUAAGGUAAGGAUAUUUUAGUUAUUAUGCUUUAAAAAUAGUAAUUAUGCUUCCUAUAUAAAAUAAAAUAUAUUUUAAUCUUUUUAUUUUGAAAAGAAACAAUGGUGUUGUUUUUCAAAUAUUUCAAUUCUAUUACACCUUCUCCCAACUUUUCCAAAAAUACAUACAUAGAAGAUAGAAAGAGUUUUUAUCUCAUAUAUUUAAAACAUUUAAAUUAGGAAGGUUUUUUAGAUAGGAAAUAAAAUCAUAUUAGGUGAUGAAUAAGUGAAUAUAAAUUGCUUUUUUUUUCAUACGUAGAAUAGGCUGUUAUUGUCUAGUUUUUCUGUUGGUUAGAAGACAGCUAGGUCGACAGUCAGCAAGAGAAGCCCGUGGACACCAAUAUUUUUAAUCUAUAUUUAAUAUAUAUAUAUAUAUAUAUAUAUAUAUUAUUUUUUUUGAAAAUAAUUUCUCCACAAUUAAAUAUUAUAUAUGUUUUUAAAUAUUAGUUCAUUUAAAUUUAAACUUGUCCUCAUUUCUUUUGAUGAUAUCAAAUAUAAAAGAUAAAAUAUUAUUAAAAUUUUGAAUUAUAUUUAUAUUUUUUAGUUUUUUAUAAUUAAUUAAUUUAAUUUUAUAUUUAUAACGUUACUAAUUUGACCAUGGUUCAAUUAUCAGCUCUGAUCAAUAAAUCGUAAAUUGGUAACUUUUUUUAUUCAAUGACCAGAUUAUAAAAACAUUGAUUUGAUGUAUAAAACAAUUUUAAUAUUUAAAGUAAAAAUUAAAUAAUAUGUUUUAAGUUAAUAACAUAAUUAAAAAUAACUUAACUUACAGUUAACUUAAGUCAUUAAAUAAUAAGUAUUAAGUUUUACUAGUGGUUAUCUAAAAUUUUAAAAGUGGUUUUAAGAAUUUGUCAAAUACCUAAUUUUUCUCAUAAAACACUUUCAUAUAUCACAUACGAGACACUUUUAACUUUCUCAAAAUCAUUCUCCUGACAUACUUAUAUAAAAUUUUACAAAGAUUUUUUGGUACAUAUUUUUUGUAAUUUGUCAUUGUUUACAUUGGGUUGACUCAUCUAAGUCUUCUGCUUGGUCUUUUAGGUAAACAUGGCAUAGCUUGGAAAAUUAUAUGAAUGAAUCCAUCAUUUAUCUCAACAUCAAUAUUUUUUUCUUCAAAUUAUUUGAUAGGAAACCUUGGAAAAUAUUGCCUUGAAAAAUAUGGUUGCAUUCCCAUUUUUUCCACGAUAGUAGAGGUCUCAUAUUUUGGCUAUGAACCUUUUGGAAAAUCCAUUAUUAAAAGUAAACAACACAUAACUUAAUUGAGUCAUUAAAUUAUUUAAAAAUAGUUUUUCAAAGGUUCUUCGAAAACUUCACAUUUUCAUUUUGAUUUAUAAUGUCUAAAAAUCUUAUAUUACACUAUAAAUUCUUUUAAAAAUAUGCUAUUAGGAGUAAAAGAAACAAGAACCUUAUAUUAGUAUUGUAGAAAACAAAAAUUUAAAAGAAAAAGUUUCUAUCUUUACCUUUUGAAAUUAGAGAAACUAUAUUUGUUUUAAUUAUAAGAAAUGAUGGAAAAAUAGUCUGAUUGAAAAAAAAAAAAAAAAGAGGUAAAAGAGAAAAAUGUUUGUUUUAAAACAUAAUUUUUAAAUAUAAACAUUAAAAUAUCAAAUGUAUUAUCAUUAAUAUUUGAAAUUAUCAAAAUUUGUGAGGUAAUAAUUUCAUUUUGUUCUCCAUUAUGUAUUUAUGUUUGUAUUAAAUUUAUAUAUAUAUAUAUAUAUAUAUUAUCAUUUUGUGUUUAAUGGUACAAUAUUUUUAUUUUUUGUCUAUUAUGUAUUUAUGUUUAUAUUAAAUUUGUUUUAUUAAUUAUCUUUUAUAUAUAACCAUUUUUUAUUUAAUGUGUUUAAAAAAAAUUAAAAUUUAAAAGAUGUAAUGAGAGAAAGUGUAGCGAGAAUUAAAUAAAUAAAUAAGUGUCAAAAACUUAGAUAAGGUAACAUGGAGGAGAAAAGAGAAAAAAAUUGACUUAAUUGUGUCAAAAACCUGUAAAGGUUUUUGUGUGAAUCUCAUUCUUUUUAUUCCAUUUCUUCUAUCAUCUCUUAUAAUUUCCUUUUUCAUGUAAGCACAGUAAAAGUUUACCAAAGUUGCGAUUAAUUGAAAAAUAUUGCCAGUUCACAUUUUGAUUCAUUCAUGAUGUUUAAAUGUUUUGCAUGUAUUUGGGUUCUAGCCCUUCCAAAAAUCCACUAAUUUUUGUGCUUUGGAAAAUCCUCACCUAAUUCAUAUUUUUUGUGUUCUCAUUCUUCAUUAAGUUAGAAGACAAUCUUAGUGAGUGUCAAUGUUCACAUUACUUUUAUUGUAAUCCACUUGAGUGGAAACAAGGAAAUUUCAUUCAUGGUGGUCUUCCCACUAAAUUAAGGUGAUUGAGAUUUGUUUCGAUGGGUCAAUAUCAUGAAUUAUGUGAACACCAAUAUUAGAGGUUGUAGUAGUAGACUAAAAAAGUGUUGCCUAACUUAGGGUGUUUUCCGGAAAAGAGCCUCUUAGACACCAAUAUUCGAAAGCACUUAUCUUGAUUAUGGGGGUAAAAAAUGAAGCAGUUUUUGCUUUAGCUUAUGUUUGGUUCUUGGAAAACACUAAGGAAAGAAAAAAAAUGUAAAAGAAAAUGAUUUUUUUCAUGUUUAAUUAUCUUAUGAAAAAUAUCAAAGAAAACCAAAUAUAAUUAUAACUAGUUAGAAAUUUAUAUAUAUUUAAAUUAUUUAAUCUUUAUAUUAAUGAGUUAAAAUAAGUAAAAUGAGUUUAAAAUAACAAAUAAAAAUAAUUUAUAGACUCUUAAUCUAUUUUUUAUUUUCCUUUACUUUUUAUUUCCUUCUACUUUUCCUUUGUAUUUUUUUUCCCUUGCAUUUUUCCUUAAAUUUUUUGAGAACCAAACAUAGCCUUAGGAAACAAAAGAAGUAGUCCAAAAGUAUUUUGUAUAUGAAUAUAAGGUAAAUUCCUAUCUUAUGUACAAUUUAUAUUUUUAAAAAUAAAAAAUGGAAAAUAUAUGUACAAACAACCUUAAUAAUUAUCAUAAAUAUUUUAUUUGAACUUCAAUUUUUCUUUUCAUUUUUCAUUUUAUGAUUUAAAAGUUUUAUUUUUUCUAAAAUUUCAUUCAACUUUUAUAAUUUGCUAUUGUUCGCUUUUGUUUUUGUCAAGUCUUUGUCUAGUUUUUCAAAGAUUCUUGGAAAAUUUUAUCUCAUUCUCAUUUUGAGCAUGUUGUUUUGUUUUAGUCACGUCUUUAUCUAGUUUUAUAAUGAGUCCACAAAUCCAUAUUGCGUAAAUCAUACGUAAUUUAAUUUUUUUUUGACUCAUUAUGAAUAUUUUAUUUAACUUUUAAAUUUUCUUUUAAUGAUCAUUUGCGUUUGUGAAGGGUCAUUCUUUUCAUUUUGUUUGACUUCUCAAAUCUCAUUUUCAUGUGAAACUUUGUAGGGUUUUCCAAAGGCCCUUGGAAAAUAUUGCCUUAUUCAUUAUGAAAUCUUCCAAAAAUCCAUGACGGGCAAUAAAUAAGGUAUAAGCUUAAUUGAGUGAUUACAUUAUUUAGAACUUAUAUAGGAUUGAUUUUAGGUAAAGCAUUCUUAAUUUGUAGUAGUCUUUGUAAUUAGUGUUUUUAUUAGAAAAACUUUUUAAGAAAAAUCAAUUAGUGCUUAGAUAUAAUAACAAAAAUAUAUAUAUAUAUAUUUUUAUAGUAUUUUUAGUAAUGUGUUAUAUAUAACAAAAAAAAAAAAAAACAUAAAAUCUCCUAACAUGUGAUCAUCCAUGAAUCACUUUAGAUGAUUAACUAAAAUUUUAAAAUAACUUUAUGAUUAUCAUUCUUUAAUUUCGGUUGACUCUUCUAAGUCUACUUAUUGGUCUUUUAUGUAAAUAUGCUAUAGUUUGGAAAAUUCUAUCCAUCAUUAAUCAACAUCAAUCGUUGUUUUCUUUAAAUGAUUUGAUGGGAAAGCCUACCUCACAUGGAAUAUGGAGUGCCUUUGUUUAAUGGAUUUCAAUUGCAUGCUCCUGGAAAUUAUGCCCUAAUCCAUAUUUUUUUUGCGUUGAUAUGGUGAGCUGUUGAAGAUGUAUUUCAUUUUCUUGAAAAGAAAUAAUUAGUGCAUACACAUUUUGAAAUAUUAAAUUAAAGAGGAAAAUGACACCAUACUCCCAUAAAAUUCAAUAUAUUUGUUUAUUUGUUAAAUAAGUAAAUAAUUAAUUAAUCAAAGACUUUAAAGGAAAUAUUUGUGUGAACUAAAAAUAUAUAUAUUUAAAUUAUAAAGGAUUUAGAUAGGAAAGAAAAAGAGGUUUUAAAUGUAUAAACUUGCAUGCAACAAAGGGAAUUUGCUGUCAUUGUCUACUGCCUUCUUUGUUACGUUAGAAGAGAGGCAGCUGGGUGAUGAGCAUUUGUGUUCACAUUUACUUUUAUUGCAUGCAGUCCACACUUAAUUGUACACAAGAAAUUAAUUCAUGGACCACGAGGACAUUAAUAUUAAUAUUAAAGACUUGAGUUGAGCAGUGGACUGACUUGACUUGGGGUGUGCUUCCGGGAAGAGUCUUUCUUAGUCUUAGGCACCAACUAAUAUUUAUAUUUAUAUUUGCAUUAUAAAAGUGUGAGGUAAGGUUUAAUUAAUUGCAGUGAAUUAAAGAUGGUGUCCUCCAUUAGAAUUUCUAGAGCAGUGGUGCUAGUUACCAUUACCAGUACCAUGAUGAUAAUGUCAUUCUCCUCCCUUGCCAAUGCAAUAUCAUCACCAUCAUCAUCAACUGAUGAGGGAGAGGCUCUGCGCAGCACCGGUUGGUGGAAUUCUACUUCUGCUCAUUGCACCUGGGAUGGUGUACGUUGCAAUAAGGCUGGAAGCGUCACUCUCAUAGAGCUUUCCUAUCUAGGAAAAAAAUUGGGUGAGCUUAGCAAAUUGAAGUUCUCUUCAUUUCCCAGCCUGGUUGAGCUCUUCCUUUCUGACUGGAGACUCAAUGGUAGAAUCCCUCACCAAAUAGGUACUCUUACUCAACUCACCUCCCUACAUCUCUCUUCAAACAAUCUUACAGGUGAGCUACCUCUUUCCUUGGCUAACCUCACUCAGUUGGAGUCCCUCGUCCUUUAUUCUAAUCGACUACAUGGUUUGAUUCUUCCUGAAAUUGGGAAAAUAAAGAAUCUGACUUUUUUGGAUUUGGGCAAUAACAAUCUUACUGGUAUCAUCCCUUCAUCUUUUGGUAAUCUUACCAAUUUGACUUUUCUUUAUCUUGAUGGUAAUCAAGUAAGUGGUUUUAUCCCUCCUCAAAUUGGGAAAAUGAAGAAUAUGAGGUUGCUCUAUCUUUCUUCUAACGGACUACAUGGUCCAAUUCCUCCUCAAAUUGGGAAAUUGAAGAAUCUGAGGUUGCUCUAUCUUUCUUCUAACGGACUACAUGGUCCAAUUCCUCCUCAAAUUGGGAAAUUGAAGAAUUUGGAGGUGCUUUAUCUUUCUUAUAACAGACUACAUGGUCCAAUUCCUCUUGAAAUUGGGAAAUUGAAGAAUUUGAAUAUUUUGAAUCUGAGUUAUAACAUCCUUAUUGGUGUCAUCCCUUCAUCUUUUGGUAAUCUUACCAAUUUGACUUCUCUUACUCUUAGGGGGUGUUUGGUAUGUCGGAAUAGGGAAUGAAUUUGAUGAUUCCAUUUCUAGCAUUUGGAUGAACUUAGGAAUACAAAAUUGAAAUGAUUAUUUGUUUCCAUUCCAAUGUUUGAUAAUAAUAGGAAUGGAAAUGAAAAAGAAAUAAAUUUACAAUAAUAUCCUUACAUAUAAUUUAAAAUAUUUUUUUAUUUUUACUUUGAUUUUAAAAAAAUAAAAUUUGAGAGGUUUUUUGUUAUUAAAUAAUAAGACUAAAAUAUAUAUAUAUAUACUCAAUAAAUAAAAAAUCGUAUAACCUUAAUGCACAAAUAUUCAAUUAUUAUUUUUAUUAAAAAUUUGAAUAAUUUGUCAUGCGUAGUUAUAAAAUUAUAUUUUUCAAAAAAAAAUUAUUUAUUAUAAUAUUUAAAUUCUCAAAGCUAGCAAAUGUUUUUCCUAUUUUCAAAAGAGGAAAUAAAAGAAUUCUAAUUUAUUCUAAUUUUCAACAAGUAUCAUAUCCAAUAAAAUCCAUAACCUUAAAAAAUUUUAAAUAUUCGUUUUUUUUUAUCAAAAUUUUAAAUAAUUUGUCAUGCAAAAAAAGCUAUAGAAUUAUAUUUUACUAAGAAAAAAAAAGAGAAAAAAUAUAAGAACAUAUAAAUUGUCAAAGCUACCAAAUACUUAUUUCUUAUUUGCAAAAAAGGAAAUAAAAAAACACAAACUUCAUUCUAGUUCUCAAUAUAAGUACCAUAUCUACUAAUAAAUAUUAAAAAGAUUAAAUAUUCUAUGUUUGACCUCACAAUCAUGGGUUUUUUAAUCAUUAAAUUUAUUGGUUGUUUAAAUAAUGUCCAUAAUUUGCCUUAAUCAGAUGUCCACAACAGAAUGCCUGGGAAGAUCAAUAGUGACAAUGGUACAGAGCUCAUCUUGACUUUUUCUUGAAGUUGCAGAUUUUAAUUUAACCCCACCUAAAUAUUUUAUUACACUGUUGCUUGAAUCUUUUUAUGUGCCAUUAGUCGGUCAUUCUGGUUAUCUAAUUUAUUGGAUCUGGAAAGGUAUGAAAAUCAUGUUUUAUUGGCAUUGGUGUUGUGAUGUGAUGUGGCUUAGGUCGGGAGAUUUGCAUCAUGCAAACCUCCUUGGGCUGUCUACAUCAAACUUAAAGUUGGGCCGAUAUACAUCAAUAGCAGCUGGAAUAAAAAAAUUAAUCAAUGUUGGUUUCUCGGUGCUUAGUGGUUUGUUUACUGUUAAAUAGCAAUGAUAUGAAGAGAUCUUCACUGUGGCCCAUGCUAAAGUUCCAAAAUGAGCCGGAAACGCAGCAGAUUUUCUGCGAGACGGCAGAAUCCAUAGCUUUAACUAGGAAAGGAAGACGUCGAUAAUAAUAAACAAAGGGGGAAAAAAACCAAAAGUUUUGUUUUUGUUUGUUUUUUUAUUUUUAUUUUUUUCCUAACCAUUAAAAAUUUUCAAUAUUGUAAACACGUGAAAUAGAAAAAUCUUUUUCCAACCAUUUCAAUUUUUCUCUCCAGUUUCCAUUAAUACAAGAUAAAGAAACAUCAAAGAUUCCAAACAUAAAUUAAUAAUAUAAAAAAUUAAUCGAUUUAUAGAGAAGAAGAAACACAUAAAAAAGUAAAAGAAGAAAGAGAAAAUAAGGUAAACCUGAUCGAAGAUGUAGAAGGGAGUUUUCAGAACCUAGUUGCAGCAAACAAUGACGAAUCCUAGAUCCAACAAUCAAAAUGAACAUCCAAAACCCUAUAAAUUACAAAUUGAUUUUUUUUUUUUUUAAAUAUCGUGGAAGGUUUAAUUGAUUCAAUUUGGAAGAAUCACUUGUUGCAGAGAAUUGGAUGAUGAGUGGGUCUCUAGCUUUACAAAGAAGAUAAGAAGUGGAUGAUGAAUGGAUCUCUACCUUUACAAAGAAGAUAAACAUCGGGUUUGAAGAACAAGAUAAGAGGGUAAAAUAGUAAUUUAGGUUAUUUUAUAUUAUCAAAUAGGUUUAAUGAAUCAGAAUACCAUCUACUUUUAAUGAAUGCAAAUCCGACUCAUAAGUUGGAUUUGAUUUCUGCCGGAAUAAUUUUUUAUUUCAUUUCCGCCUUCUUAACAUUUAUCCAAACAUAGGAAUAAGGGAGAAAAGGAAUGAGAUGUCUAUUCCCACUCCCUAUUCCCGUGUACCAAACACCCCCUUAGAGGUAAUCAAAUAAGUGGUUUUAUUCCUCCUGAAAUUGGAUAUCUUUUGAAUUUAUCAUAUCUAGAUCUCAGUGAGAAUCAAAUCAGUGGUUUCAUCCCUGCAGAAAUAGUAAAUUUGAAGAAAUUGGGUCAUCUAGACAUGAGCAAUAACUUAAUAAGUGGAAAGAUACCUCCACAGUUGGGAAAUUUGAAAGAAGUAAAAUACUUCAAUCUCUCCCACAAUAACCUCUCUGGCACCAUUCCUUAUUCUAUUUCUAAUAACUACAGAUGGACAUUAAUUGAUUUAUCAAACAAUCAGUUGAAGGGUCAGUCUAGAGCUCCAGUAAAGGCAUUUGGCCACAACAAAGGUCUAUAUGAUGAAAUCAAAGGUCGGCCACGAUGCAAGAAAAGGCACAAAAUCACACUCAUCAUUGUUGUUUCUUUAUCUACAACCUUGUUGCUUUCAGUUGCAGUCCUUGGUUUUCUCUUCCAUAAACGAAGGAUAAAAAAAAAUCAAUUACUCGAGACAACAAAGGUGAAAAAUGGAGAUUUAUUUUCCAUAUGGGACUAUGAUGGUGUGAUUGCUUAUCAAGACAUCAUCCAAGCAACUGAAGAUUUUGACAUCAAAUACUGCAUAGGCACUGGAGGCUAUGGGAGUGUUUAUAGAGCACAAUUGCCAUCUGGAAAGGUGGUUGCCUUGAAAAAACUUCAUGGAUGGGAAAGAGAGAAUCCAAGUUACCUGAAAAGCUUUGAAAAUGAAGUCCAAAUGUUAUCAAGAAUACAACACCGUAACAUUGUAAAACUUCAUGGCUUCUGUCUACACAAGAGAUGCAUGUUUCUAGACUUCUAGUUUACAAAUAUAUGGAGAAAGGAAGCUUGUAUUGUAUGCUGAGGGAUGAAGUUGAGGUUGUGGAAUUGGAUUGGAUUAAGAGGGUGAAUGUGGUCAAAGGCAUUGUCAAUGCUUUAUCCUACAUGCAUCAUGACUACAACUUGCCCAUCAUUCAUCGAGACAUAUCAAGUAACAAUAUUUUGUUGGAUUCUAAGCUUGAAGCUUUCGUAUCGGAUUUUGGCACUGCAAGACUGUUAGAUCCCGACUCAUCCAAUCAAACCCUUCUUGUAGGCACUUACGGUUAUAUUGCACCAGGUAAACUAGACUAUAUUCUUCACUAGUUUUUAAUUGCUUAUGAAUAUUUUCAAUUGUCACACCCUCAAAAAAAUUCAAAUGUUUUUUAGAGAAUUCAAAAUAUUUUAUAAGUUUUCUCUAUAUACAAAACAUAAAUACUCAUUUUUUUUCCCUAUUUUGUAGAGCUUGCUUAUACUAUGGUUGUGACCGAAAAAUGCGACGUUUAUAGCUUUGGGAUGGUUGCAUUGGAAACAAUGAUGGGAAUGCAUCCAGGAGAACUUGUCACCUCAUUAUCAUCUUCAUCAACUCAAAACACAACAUUAAAGGAUGUAUUAGAUUCACGUCUUUCAUCUCCUAAAAGUACAAGAGUUGCUAAUAAUGUAGCUCUUAUUGUGUCAUUGGCGCUCAAAUGUCUCCAUUCUAAUCCACAUUUUCGUCCAUCCAUGCAAGAAGUGUCUUUGAAACUUGUUUCUACAAAGUCAUUCCCACAACCCAUUAGUGCAAUAUCACUUUUGCAACUAAAAGACGAAGUUAUUUAAAUGGCAUGUGAGUUGAUAUGUAAUUGGAGUGAAGAUGUUUAUUUUCCAUUUUUCUUUUUCAUGCAUGUUAGUAAUGAGAAUUUUAUAGUAUAUGUAUCCCUUCUUUCCUAUUAAUUACUCAAAUGUAGCUUUUCUAUUUGUUUUUCAAAGUGACAAUAGUGUAAUGUGAUGAGAAAAUUAUAUCUGAUUGAUACAUAAUGAUAUGUAAACUUUGAAUGAUUCAUAAUGGUUAAUCUUUAUAAUGAUCCUUCUUUGGAGAAGAAUCCUUCUUUUUCUUUUAUCAAUUUUAACAUAUAUACCAUUUUCUCAAUUUUAAUAUUCUAAUCAAUCAAAUUAGUGAUAUUUGUUGUGAAUGUGAUUGGUAGCUAUUAUCAAAGGCAUAUGAUAAAAUUGGGGAAAAAACAAAUUGAAUAAUUUCAAUAGGAUUGUCUCUACAUGAUGAAGUUAUUCUAUUUAUUUUUAAAAUACUAUUUUACCCAUUUUUCCUAUACAUCCUCUAAAAUUUUGUAUAAAAUAAAAUAAUUUGAUUUUGUAUAAGAACACUUAAAAAUGUUGAUGGGAACGUGAAAUAUUAGGAUGACACUUAAACACCAAAUGACAUACUUGUGAUGCAAUAUUAAGAAAUUAUCAUAAUAUUUUACGAUUUGUCUCUACUAUAUAUGUAGUCACCUAUAAAUGUCAAUUUUAAAAAUAUUUAAUGAUCAAAGAAAAUUAAGUGAGAUAUAAUUAAAAAAAUCUAAAAAUUUUAUUUGCCCAUUCUAACAUAAUAGAUAUUCAUACUACUAAUUUUAUUGAGAUGAGAUACCUAGUUGAUAUAGUGUCCUUGCUUUUACGUAAAAUUAGACAUUAGAUUUACUUAAAUUAUUUUCAUAAUAGUGGCAUAUUUAUAAAAUAUAUGAAACUAAUUAAAUUGAAUAAUUGAGAUAACUAUGAAUAUAAGUAGGACAUUAAUGCUCCGCGUUUUAUUGAAAUAUUAUAGAAGAAGCAUUAUUUCGGUUUCAUAUCUAAAGUUUAUUUUUUUUUUUUUCCAACUCCAAUUGGUGUAUAUAGAUCCGAUUUUGUAGUGAAGGCCGGCAGCCAAUAGGAUUUCCUUCACAGAAAAGAAUGGACACAUGAACUACACAGAAACCAGACCAAGAAAUGAGUGUGGUGUUCUCUCCUGCCUUGGCUGGAAUUCCCACAUCACAACUGCCCUUCUUCACUCCAAAACCAGGUUCUUUUCUCUUUUCCUGUUUCUCAAUUCCCACAAUUCUCAUUCAUACUUAUUGUAAUUUCCCCCUUGUUCAGUUUUAAUAUGUCCGUAUCCUAAUUGAUCUUCAAUGCUCUUAGUCAAGUCCAAGAGUUGCAGAUUGAUUUCUUGGGACGUCAAUUCCAUUACUAAUUGCAGUAAUAAUAGUAGCUAGAGAGCUCAAUUGCCGUUCAAUUCUCAGGUCACAAGGUCAAAUAUUAUUAUUCUUGUAUAAGAGAAAAUAAUUUUAAAUCUUUUUGUUUAAAAAAAAAAAAAAUUAGUUCGGCUUUUUCAAAUAUAUUCAUCCCACAACUUCUUAUCCUAAGUUUCCCAAAAAUAUAUGAUAGAAUAUUUAUCUUAUAUAUUAAAAAUAUUUAAUUACAAAGGUCUUUUAGUCUUUUUUAUAUGGAAAUAAUAUGAAUUGCUUUCUUGAAACAUAAACUUGCAGCAAGGGAAGUGGUUGUCAUGGUCUACAUUUUUUCAGAGCUGGGUGUUCUGCAUUGAAAAGAAUCAGGUAGAUGCCAAUACAAGAGACUUGAGCCGUGUACUGAAAAAGAGUUGCUUGACUUGGUGUGUUUGUAAGAAAAAUGGAUUAUUAUUAUUAUUAUUAUUAUUGCAAUGUGAAAAAUAGAUGUACCAUUACAUUAAAAUGUAAAUGUAGAUUCUAAAAUUUGUCUUUAAUUUAUUUUUAGAUUUUGAACCUAAUUUUAUCCUUAAAUUUCAAUCCAAUUACUUGAUUUUUAUUUUCGAUUUACUUGUAACAUUUAAAUAUUAAUUUAUAUUAUUUUAUUUUAUUUCUAUUUCAUAUUUUAUUUUAUCUUUUAUUUUCUUUUUUUCUUUUUUCUUUUUCCCUUCACUUCCCUCUUCUCACUUAUCCUCACGUACCCACACUUUUACGGGCCUUACCUCUCACGUCAGGAGACACGUCUCCUCUCAUCUCUUUUCCUUUUUUUCUCUCUCCAUUUUUUCUUCCUUUUUCUUCCCCUCAUUUUUUUUUUCUUUCUUUCCCCUCAUUUUUUCCCUCUCUUUCUCUUCUUCCUCUCGCCCAUCACUCUACCCACACCUCCGGCACGGCACCAUCUCCCCUACUCCCCCAUCUUUCUCCAUUUUUUUUUCUCUCUCAACCCAAACCCACUACACUACACCACCUAUUGCGCCAGUCACCGUGGACCAGUGGGCGACGCCACCUCCGACAGCCAACGACCACCUCCCAAUCCCCUCAUCUCAUCUAUCGUCUCAUCGCUUUUUCAUUUUUAUUUUAUUUUAUUUUGUUUUAUUUUCACAACAUACAGCAUCCAACAACCUUCCUUCAUCUCCAAAAAAUGUGUAAGUUUAUUUAUGUAUUUUUUUUUUUUUUUUGCUUUGAUUUCAAUAAUAAUUGUUAGUAAGAUUUGGGAUUGUUAAUUAACAUUAAACUUGGAUCCAUUUGUUAUUGGUGAAAUUUGUUGGAUGAUAUUUAAUAUGAUAAUAUUGUGGUAUAUUUUUGUUACAUUUAGGAUUUAUAUAUUAAAUUGGGCUUAAUUUAUUAAAUUAGGUUUGGAUGAUGAGAUAUUAAAUUUUUAUACUUAAUUGAAUUUAUUUUAUUUUAUUACAUUUUGAGCUUCAUGAUUAUGUUUGUAUUUAAUUUAGAAUUUUGAACUAAGGCUUAUAACAUGUAAGAUAUUUUUGAUGGGCUUUAUUUAUCAAUUUAGGCCCAAUUUUAUUGACGAAAUUUAUUGAACUAAUUUGAUAUUGCUUUUGGGCUUAUUAAAAAACUUUGUACAUUUUUAAAAAUUUAUUUUGGGCUGAUUUUUGUUUUGUUGUGCCCAUUCCUCAAUUUAUUUGUUUAAUAAAAAUUGUUAAGAAAAUUGAUUUUUUUAAAAAUAAAAUUGUCCACAAGGUUAAUUUUUAAUAAAAUUGUUAGAAAAUGAUUUUUAAAUAAAUCCUCUUUCCUUAAUUAGAAUGAGAUUAAAAGUAAUUUUUCUUAAUUGGGGUUUUAAAUAAUUUUUUUUAAUGAGAAUAGGAUCAGGGUCAUUUUCGUAAAUAAAGUUUGUAAAGAAAUUAAUUAUUUUGUAACUAAAAUCAAAUUGAAAUACUUUUCUAAAUAAAGUUGUAAAAAUCCAUUCUUUUUUUAGUAAAAGCAGGUAAAAAUCAUUUUUAUUGUCAAAUUAAUUUUUUUUUAAAUUCUUUUAAUAACAGUAAGUGUAAAUAACUUUCUCAAAACAAGAAUUGAAUCAAAUCACUUCUUGAAAAUAAAUUAAAACCUUUUUGAUAAAUAAAUAAAUUAAAAUCAUUAAUUUGAAAUUAUUUUUAAUGGACUCCUUCAGAAUUUCUAGAAAAACCAAUUUUUGAAAUAUCAAUUUUUAAAUUAGUUUAAUAAAUUAAUUUGCUUAAUUCUCAUGUCAUUUGUUUUGUACAUUCUUAUGAUAUGACUUUAUCAUUAUGUUUAUGUAUAUUUAUUUGUGUGACCUUAAUCUUGAUAUUCAUAAUUAAUUAAUUAAUUAUCACAAUUUCCUCACACUGUAGGUAUAUGAGUUUAGAGGUAUGUUAUGACUUAUCAUUAUAUCUUCUCGAUAGGUAACUUGACCUUGAAGGUAAACUUAGUUUUUGCAGAUAUGUCUUUUCCAAAUAAAAAAUCAUAUAAAGUUUUCUUUCUUAUUUUAUCUUUUUUUUAAAAAUAAAUUAAAAUAAGUGGUAAAUCCAAUUUUUUUUUAUAAAUAAAAAAUAAAAAAUUUGACAAAUAAAAAAUAAGUCUUACUGUUGGAGUGGGGACACAUGUGGAAAACACGGGUCCAUAGUAAAUUUGAAAAGACAAUCUCCAAAGUUGGCUUUACCAUUAUUAUUAUUAUUUUUUUAAUUUAUUAAAGAUCAAUUAAAAAAAUAUAAUAAAUUUAUAGGGCGCUAAUGGAUGAAAUAGUCAAGUGUAUUUACAACAAAUCUCAAGAGGUCCAAAAUAUGUUUUUUUUUUAAAUAACUGAAAAAAAAACAAAUGAAAAUAAAAUAAAAUAUAAAAUAUAAACCCUUCAUCACUGAUACAAAGGACAAAAAUUUAGAAGAAAAAUGUUUCAUCAUUACCUUCUCUAAUUAAAAAAAAAAAAAAAAAAAAAAAAACCUACAUUUGUUUUAGCCAUAAUAAUCAAAGAAAAAAAGGUAAAAGAGGAAAAUGGAAGGUAAAAAAUGAAAGUUUCCGAUCAAAAUAUAUAUAUAUAUAUAUAUAUUUUCUAAAUUCUCAAUCUAAACUUGUGUUAAAAAUAUUUGUCAAAGUAGUAUGUCCAUACAACAUCAAGUUUCACUUUAUUAUUAUUAUUAUUUGUUUUAAAACUAUAAUUAUUAAAUGUGAUUUUAGUUUUAAAACUAUAGUAAUGAGGGUAAAACCAAUAUUGGUAACUAUAGUUUUAAAUUUAAACCUAAAACCAUAGUUGAUAACCGUAAUUUUUAUAUUAAACAAAAAAAGUUAAGUGAAUGAUUACGUUAUUACAAAGGUUAGAUUGGUAAAUAUUUGGGAGAAAAUCUAUUUUCAUUAUUUUUUUUUUCAAAAGCACUUGAGAAAUGAUGUAAAUAUAUUAAUUUCAUACGUGCACUUAGUUAUUUUUUAAAAUUUAUAAAAAUAUUAAGGUAAGGAUAUUUUGUAAGUUGAAUACACGUUCACACGUUCUCACUUCAUGAUGUGGUCCAACACUUUGACCACGUCCUCCACCAUCUCACUUCCGCUGCGGUUAAGGAGCCAGCAACUGCUCAACAUGGUGGCAAGAACAACGUGGUAUGAUGGAAGCCACGAAUAUAAAGAUUUUAAAAGGAAAAAAUGGUCCCGAACUCGUCUGCUAUUAUCUUCAGAAACACCAUCUAAACAAAGAUAGAUUAGAGUUUGGAAAUCAAGUUUUUUGAAACCGACUACAAUGACUGGAGGUAAGUAGACUAUUCUUAGUCUUUUUCAGUUUUGAUUCAUAUUGCAAAUCCAUUGGAAUCAUAUAUAUAUAUAGCAUGUAAACAACUUACAUUUGGUAUCAGAGCACGUUAAAUCUUACCUCUGUUUUGUAUUAAUUCUGAAUGAAAAUUCUUGUUAUUUUGAUCUCUCUAAAUUAUUUAAACAAUGGCUGCUUGAGGCGAUCCAAAGGGUUGGCGUAAUUCUUUCAGAAAACGCCAUUACAGGCAGCCAUUCAGGCGCCGUUUUCGGGUGCUUCAGCGGUGCUGUUAAGGCGCCAUUGGAGACACCAUUGGGAGUGCAUUUUGGGGCUGCAACCAGCGCCAUUUUCAGGUGCCAUACCAGCCCCGUUCAGGCACCACUUGCAGCACCAUUGAAAGUCCAUUUUUUGGUGCUACAACCAGUCCAUUUUCAGGCGCCAUACCAGCCCCGUUCAGGCACCACUUGCAGCACCAUUGAAAGUCCAUUUUUUGGUGCUGCAACCAGUCCAUUUUCAGGCGCCAUACCAACCCCGUUCAGGCACCACAUGCAGCACCAUUGAAAGUCCAUUUUUUGGGGCUGCAACCAGUCCAUUUCAGGCGUUAUACCAGUGCCGUUUCAGGCGUCUUUUCGCGCCAGCAAGAGGCGCCCUUUGGGAGUGCCGUUCAGGCGCUAUUCGCAUCGGUUGGAAUUCACCAGUGAGGACUUACUUGCUGGUGAUGUUGGUAGCCGGAAGGCACUCAUGAGGCUCUUUAUGCCUCUGAUGCAGGUGGCUCCAUGGCUUGCUGGUGAUGAAGCAAUCCACAAGGGUGGCGGUAAAUUAGAACCUAGAGAGAGAAUGGGUUCUAUUAAGUGUUAGGCCAUGUAUUAAAUGGAAAUUUGGGCCUUGGUAUAAGAGGCUAUUGGGCUCAUUAAGCUCAAUGCAUGCCAAUAGCCCAUUUUACAAAAUUAUGGGCUUUAAGUUUUGGUUCAUUGAAUGAUGGUUAAAAUUGGGCCAGUUUAGGCCCUUUUUGGCCCGAUUUGAAUUUUUAUUUUAAUUUUAUUGGGCAUAGAAUUGAUUGUGUUUUAUUUGGAUUUAGGCAUUCAUUCAUAAUCUGAAACCUUUAAAUUAUUAUUAUUAUUUUUAAAUUAUCAUGUAAAUUUUAUACAUGCAAAAUAAAUAAUUAUAUAUUGUUUUAUAUGUUUGUAGCCUAAAUUAAAGUUGUAGCUCUUAAUGCAUGCAAUUAUUGCCUGAAUUGGAGUUAGAUAUAUUAAAAUUAUAUCAUAUAGUUUUAAUGUCUAGUGAAACCAUAUGAUUUUUUAAAUAAUUAAGGAAUAGCCAUAGCAUCCUUAAUUAUAUAAAAAUUAUAUAUUAAGUAAAUAAGGAUCACAUUAUGGACAUUAAUUGUAAUUAAUUAUAUAAAUAUGGUGAUUUUGCCCCAUAGGGUUUUCAUUAUGUUUAUAUAAUUAAUUAGGAUAAAAUAUUAAAAUUAAUUUUUCCUAAUUUACCCACAGGAGUUAGGAAGAAUUAAUUUAAUAGGUUUAUCAUAAAGAUUAUAGACAUAAAAUAUCAAACUAUAUUCAUAAUAAAUUUCAUAAUUCAAUAAAAUAGUUUGAUAAAGUCUAUCAUAAAGAUAAUUAAUUUGAUUGAAUUAAAGAUUUAGCCCACAGGCAAUUUUUAAUAAAAUUAGAUUAAAUUUUAAGCAUGUUCUACAUUGGUAAAGCAUGACUUUAUAUUAAAGCCUCAAAAUUUUUUAAUAAGCUUGUAAUCCUUUUGUGCAGUUUUACCUAGCAUAUCUGAUAUUCGUUGUGAGGCUCCCGAACUUAGAGGAGAUAACUUUAAGAUAUGGAAGGAGAUAAUUCUUCUUCAAUUAGGGUGCAUGGACAUAGACUAUGCCAUAAGGAAAGAUGAACCACAUAAGAUCACUGAUACCAGCACACCUGAAGAAAUACUAUUGUACGAACACUGGGAGAAAUCUAAUCGGUUCAGCGUGAUGUACAUAAAGACAAAAAUUAGUGCUGGUAUACGUGGUUUGAUCGAGCAACAUGAGAAUGUCCGCGAAUUGCUCAAGGCUAUUGACGAGCAAUUCGUCACUUCAGAUAAAGCCUUGGCAAGCACCCUAAUUAUGAAGUUCACAUCCUUGAAGCUCACCGCUAUAAGAGGUGUGCGUGAACAUAUCAUGGAGAUGAGGGACAUUGUGGCUCAAUUGAAGAAACUCGAGGUAGAAAUGUCUGAAUCCUUCUUGGUGCACUUUAUCCUUAACACUCUUCCACUUCAGUAUGGACCUUUCAAAAUCUCUUACAACACACAUAAGGAUAAGUGGUCUAUCAAUGAAUUGAUGAUCAUGUGUGUUCAAGAGGAAGGAAGGUUAAUGAUGGAACAAGGAGAAAGUGCCAUGCUGGUGACGCAAAGGAAAGGAAAGAAAGGAAAAUCUCAAGCUAGUCAAAAAGGGAAGCAACAAAUUUCUCCUAAAUCUGACAUUAAGAAAGACGAAAAGUGUUUUUUCUGUAAAAAGAAAGGACACGUGAAGAAGAAAUGUCUGAAAUUUCAGAAUUGGCUUGAGAAGAAAGGUAACCCUACCUUAUUUGUUUGUUAUGAAUCUAAUAUGGUUAAUGUAAACACCAACACAUGGUGGAUUGAUUCUGGAUCUACAAUCCACAUUUCAAAUUCCUUGCAGGGUAUGCAAAACCUAAGGAAGCCAGUGACAAGUGAGCAAUUCAUCUUAUCCGGAAACAAGAUGGGCUCGCAUGUGGAAGCAAUAGGGACAUGUUAUUUAACUUUAAAUAGUGGUUUUGUUUUAGAAUUGCAAAAGACCUUUAUGUACCAAGUUUCUCACGAAACUUGAUUUCAGUUUCUAGACUUGUACCGUUUGGAUAUUCCUUUCAUUUUUCAGAAACAUCUUUUAGUUUGAUUUAUAAAUCUGAUUGUGUUGGGAAUGGUAUCUUGUCUGAUGGUCUUUAUUGUAUAUUCUUACAAAAUGAUACCGCUCAUAAUUCAUUACAUGUCCAAACUGGCAUUAAGAGAUGUGUUGUAAAAGAGGAUUCCUCUACAUUGUGGCACCGGAGAUUAGGUCAUAUCUCCAUAGAUAGAAUCAAAAGAUUGGUGAAUGAUGGGGUACUUAGUACUCUAGAUUUUACUGACUUUGAGACUUGUGUGGACUGCAUUAAGGGAAAGCAGACCAACAAGUCAAAGAGAGGUGCUACUAGGAGUUCUAUCAUACUAGAGAUCAUACAUAUUAAUAUAUGUAGUCUUGACAUGGACUCUCAUGGUCAGAAAUACUUCAUCUCUUUCAUAGAUGAUUUCUCACGAUACAUGUAACUCUACAUACUUCAUAAUAAAAAUGAAGCUUUAGAUGCCUUUAAAGUCUUCAAGGCAGAAGUAGAGAAACAAUAUGGUAAACAAAUUAAGAUCGUGAGAUUAGAUAGAGGUGGAGAAUAUUAUGAUAGAUACUUGGAAGAUGGACAAUCACCUGGGCCAUUUGCGAAGUUUCUUCAAGAGCAUGGGAUUGUUGCCCAAUACACCAUGCCUGGUUCUCCAGACCAAAAUGGUGUAGCAGAAAGAAGAAACCGAACUUUAUUGGACAUGGUGAGGAGUAUGCUUAGCAGCUCAAAACUUCCUAAAUUCUUGUGGACUGAAGCACUUAAGACAACUGUGUAUAUAUUAAACCGAGUUCCAACCAAGGCUGUCCUAAAAACGCCAUUUGAGUUAUUGAAAGGUUGGAAACCGAGUUUGCGACAUAUGCGCGUUUGGGGAUGCUCGUCUGAAGUGAGAAUUUAUAAUCCACAAGAGAAGAAACUGGACCCAAGGACUAUUAGUGGGUAUUUCAUUGGAUAUGCUGAAAAAUCCAAGGGGUAUAGGAUUUACUGUCCAUCUCACAGCACUAGGAUUGUGGAAUCAAGAAAUGCUAAAUUUCUUGAAUAUGACUUGGUCAGUGGGAGCGAUCAAUUUAGAAACAUAGUUUCUGAUAUUGAUCAUACAGAGUCUCAACCUUCCACUUCAAGCGAUAGAUUGUUUAUUGUUCAUAACACCCCUCAAGUACAAACAGGUGUUGAAUGAACAAUCGAUGAAGUUCAACCAGUCAUUGAAGUUCCACAAGUUGUUGACAACAUUCCAGUAGACCAAGUUGAUCAGGAAUUGCCUAACACUUCUGAACAACAAGUUGAACCUCAUACUUCCUCGGAAGAUAUUGGUGCAACCUUAAGAAGGUCUGCUCGAACUAAGAGGUCAGCAAUUCCUAGUGAUUAUGUAGUGUAUCUACAAGAAUCUGACUAUAAUAUAGGAACCGAAAAUGAUCCCGAAUCAUUUUCACAAGCCAUGAGUUGUAAAGAAUCAGAAUUGUGGUACAAUGCCAUGAAGGAUGAGAUGAGUUCCAUGAAGUGCAACGAUGUUUGGGACCUUGUUGAGUUGCCUAAUGGUGCAAAAACCAUUGGUUGUAAAUGGGUUUUUAAGACAAAGAAAGACUCAUUAGGCAACAUUGAGAGAUACAAGGCCAGACUUGUUGCAAAGGGUUUCACUCAUAAAGAAAGAAUCGAUUACACGGAAACCUUUUCUCCUGUAUAUAAGAAAGAUUCUUUACGCAUUAUAUUGGCAUUAGUAGCCCACUUUGAUUUGGAAUUGCAACAAAUGGAUGUGAAAACAACAUUUAUUAAUGGAGAGCUAGAGAAGGAGGUUUACAUGAAACAACCUGAAGGAUUCCCCUCUAGUGAUGGUGAGCAAUUGGUUUGUAAGUUUAAGAAAUCCAUAUACGGUUUAAAACAAGCAUCCCGCCAAUGGUAUUUAAAAUUCCAUAACAUAAUUUCUUCAUUUGGUUUUGAAGAAAAUGUUAUGGAUCAAUGCAUAUACCUUAAGGUCAGUGGGAGUAAAGUUUGUUUUCUUGUUUUAUACGUGGAUGACAUCUUACUUGCAACCAAUGAUAAGGGUUUACUUCAUGAGGUGAAACAAUUCCUCUCUAAAAAUUUUGACAUGAAGGAUAUGGGUGAGGCAUCUUAUGUCAUUGGCAUUAAGAUCCAUAGAGAUAGAUUUAAAGGUAUCUUAGGUUUGUCUCAAGAAACCUAUAUCAAUAAAGUUUUAGAGAGAUUUCGGAUGAAGAAUUGUUCACCUAGUGUUUUCCCUAUAGUGAAGGGUGAUAGGUUCAAUCUGAACCAAUGCCUGAAAAACGAUCUUGAGAGGGAACAAAUGAAGAAAAUUCCAUAUGCUUCUGUAGUCGGAAGUUUGAUGUAUGCUCAGGUCUGCACAAGGCCUAACAUUGCAUUUGCUGUUGGAAUGUUAGGACGAUAUCAGAGUAACCCAGGUAUAGACCACUGGAAAGCUGCAAAGAAAGUGAUGAGAUAUCUUCAAGGAACCAAAGAUUACAAUCUUAUGUACAGACGAACAAGCAAUUUAGAGGUAGUUGGCUACUCAGAUUCAGACUUUGCUGGCUGUGUUGAUUCAUGUAAAUCAACAUCUGGAUACAUUUUUAUAUUGGGCGGUGGAGCUAUAUCUUGGAGGAGAGUUAAGUAGACCAUGACUGCUACUUCUACUAUGGAAGCUGAGUUCAUAUCUUGUUUUGAGGCUACUUCACAUGGUGUAUGGCUUAAGAGUUUCAUUUCCGAGCUUAGAGUUAUGGAUUCAAUAUCUAGGCCAUUGAGUAUAUAUUGCGACAAUUCAGCUGCAGUCUUUAUGACGAAGAACAAUAAAAGUGGAAGUCGAAGCAAACACAUCGACAUUAAGUAUCUAGCCAUAAGAGAACGUGUUAAAGAAAAGAAAGUGGUUAUUGAGCACAUUAGCACUGAAUUGAUGAUCGUUGAUCCUUUGACUAAGGGCAUGCCACCAUUGAAAUUCAAGGAUCAUGUAGUGAACAUGGGACUUAGUUCCCUUAUGUAGUUUCUAUUGUACAAACUCUUAUUAUGAUGUUUUCUCAUAUUGAUGCGCAUUUUUUAUUUAAUUUUGAGAAAAUUCAACUUCAUUGGACCAAGAAUGAACAUAGGGUUUAUUCAUUAAGUAAUAUUGCCACAUAAAGUAUAAUGUUAAGAAAUGAGUACACUGUAAUACAUGGAAGGUAACACUCGUUAAAUAGAGGACUUAUCGCCAUGAUUCAUGUAUUUGUUACUUAAUGGGACAAUUGAUGGACUGAAUUAGGACAUUAGGUUAAAGGUGUGGACCAAGUGGGAGAAUGUAAGCUAAAUACACGUUCACACGUUCUCACUUCAUGAUGUGGUCCAACACUUUGACCACGUCCUCCACCAUCUCACUUUCGUUGCGGUUAAGGAGCCAGCAACUGCUCAACGUGGUGGCAAGAACAACGUGGUAUGAUGGAAGCCACGAAUAUAAAGAUUUUAAAAGGAAAAAAUGGUCCUGAACUCGUCUGCUAUUAUCUUCAGAAACACCAUCUAAACAAAGAGAGAUUAGAGUUUGGAAAUCAAGUUUUUUGAAACCGACUACAAUGACUGGAGGUAAGUAGACUAUUCUUAGUCUUUUUCAGUUUUGAUUCAUAUUGCAAAUCCAUUGGAAUCAUAUAUAUAUAUAUAUAUAGCAUGUAAACAACUUACAUAUUUUAGUUAUUAUGCUUUAAAAAUAGUAAUUAUGCUUCCUAUAUAAAAUAAAAUAUAUUUUAAUCUUUUUAUUUUGAAAAUAAACAAUGGUGUUGUUUUUCAAAUAUUUCAAUUCUAUUACACCUUGUCCCAACUUUUCCAAAAAUACAACAUAGAAGAUAGAAAGAGUUUUAUCUCAUAUAUUUAAAACAUUUAAAUUAGGAAGGUUUUUUAGAUAGGAAAUAAAAUCAGAUUAGGUGAUGAAUAAGUGAAUAUAAAUUGCUUUUUUUUUCAUAUGUAAACUUGGAGCAAGGGAAUAGGCUGUUAUUGUCUAGUUUUUCUGUCGGGUUAGAAGACAGCUAGGUGGAUGGUCAGCAAGAGAAGCCCGUGGACACCAAUAUUUUUAAUCUAUAUUUAAUAUAUAUAUAUAUAUAUAUAUAUAUAUAUAUAUAUAUAUAUAUAUAUAUAUAUAUAUAUAUAUAUAUUGAAAAUAAUUUUUGUAUUCAGUACUUUAUUUUGAAUUAUUUUUCAUAUUUAUAUAAAUAUUUUUAAAAGCACUUAUAUUGAUUCUAAAACCAAAAAUAAAAAUAAAAAAUAUAUCCAAAUGUAAUCAUAGUAAUUAUCAUAAUGUUUUAUUUGAACUUUAAAUAAUUUUAAAAAAUUCUUAAAAUUUUAUUUAACUUUUAUAAUUUGUUAUCGUCUAUAUUUUGUUUUUGUCAAGUCUUCAUCUACAUUUAUGUAACAUUCUGUGGUCUAUCAAAGAUUCUCAAAUUUUUUUAUUUCAUUCUCAUUUUAAUUGUUUUGGUUUGUUUUCAUCAAGUCUUUAUCUAGUCUUAUGCAAGGAUGAAAAUAUUGAUAAUUAUGGAUAUAUCGGUACUUCGAUUUUACGGAUAUAUUGAAAAUAUAUCGGGCGGAUAUUUUGGAAAAAAAUAUCGAUAAGGUUAAAAUUGAUCAAAAUUUAUAAACAUACAAGAAAACUUCAUAAAAAUGUAAUUAGAAGUAUAAUAGAUAUUUUAAAGUUGUUUUAUUAAAGAAUUUGAUAUAUGUAUAAUAUGAUUUAUCAUAUUUGAUAAUAAUAACGUAUGCAUCGAUAAAAAUAUGAAUUUUAUAAAUGUACAUUUAUUAUUAAAUUAAAUUAAAUAUUAUUUCAUAAUAAUAUUAUGAUAUUUGAUUAUAAUAUGUCUAACUUAAAAAUAUAUAUUAAUAUUAAAAUUAUGAUCCAUUUAAUUCAAUUGUAUUAAAUGAUAUAAAAUAAAUUAUGAUAUAUGUAUAAUUUUUUAAUAUUUAAUUAAUUUAUUAAUGAUAUUAAAAACACUAUGAAGAAAAUUAUUGUGAUAAUUUUUAUAAUAUCAAAACUUAAAAAAAUAUAAAAUAAAAACUCUUAUAAAUGAAAUUAAAAGCGUAAUAGACAUUUUAGUGUUUUUUUUUUAAUAAAUUGAUAUACAUAUAUAUAUAUAUAUAUAUAUAUAUAUAUAUAUAUAUAUAUAUAUAUAUAUAUAUAUAAUAUUGUACAUGUUAAUAAAAAAUAUAAAUUUGAUAAGUGUACAUUGAUUAUUAAAUUAUAUAAAAUAUUAUUUGAUGAUAAUAUUGUGAUAUGUGAUUAUAAUAUGUUUAAUUUUAAAAUCUAUUUAAUAUUAAAAUUCUGAUAUAUUAUAAAUAAAUUAUGAUAAAUGUAUAAAUUUUUAAUAUAUUAAUAAUAUUAAAAACACUAUGAAUAAAAUUAUGAUAUAUUUUUACUAAUCAAUUAAAUGAAAAUUUUUCAUUCAAUUAUAAAAUAGUUAUAAUUAAUUUGUUAUUUAAAGUGUUUUUUUUAAUAUUUUAUUUAUAUCAUAACUUUUGAUAUAUAUUUCUUUAGUGCAUAUUAUAUAUUAAAGGGCACGUUUGCCCUAGUGGAGCUGGGGAUGUAUGUUGAACGCAGCAAAAAAAAGCUCAAUUUUGAGCUUUGAUCGCAUUGACUAGUCGUUGACCACCGAUAUAUCCAUGCUAUAUAUCGUUUCGCCACCCACCGAUACACCGAUAUUUCGACGAUAUUUUCUUCCUUGGUCUUAUGUAAUAUUUUGUAGUCUUCCAAAGAAUCUUGAAAAUUUUUAUCCCAUUCUCAUUUUAAUUGUGUUGUUAUGUUUUCAUCAAGUCUUUAUCUAGUUUAAUAAUAAAUCAACAUAUUCAUACUAUGUAAAUAAUACGUAAUUUAAUUUGUUGACUCAUUUUGAAGUCAACUAAUAUGACUUUAUAACUUAAUUUAAGUCAUUUGUUAAUUAAUUGAUUAAUAGAUCAAAGUCUUUAAAAAAAAAAUUAAAGAAAAAAACUAUGAAAAAUAUAGGGAAAAUUGGAUAAGAAGUCAUUUUUUUCAUAUUAGAAAUGAAAUUUUUUUAGUAUAUGUAUCCUUUCUCUAUUCAUUAUUUAUUCAAAUGCAACUUCUCUAUUUAUUUUUCCAAUUUGAUAAUAGCAUUAUGCGAUCAAAGAAUUGCAUGAGAUUGAUACAUAAUGCAUUGUGAUAUUUGAAUGACAUUAUUGAUCUUAACUAUGUCAUAAUGAAAUACUUUUUUCUUCAAAUACUAAAAUUUGACAUCCCUUCUUUUUUCAUUUUUACUCUAUAAUUUCUUAUAACUUAUCAAUUUAUAAUAAUGAUGAUAAUAAUAACAAUGAAAAUAAUAGUAAUGAUAAUAACAGAGAAAUCCUUCUAAUUUCUUUUUAAAAAUUAGAAGGAUUUUUAUGCACAUAAUCAAUCCAUUGUCAAAGCAAAUUGAAUUAUUUCACAAUGUGGUGAAGAUCGAUAAUGAAUUUAUUGAGUAUUUUUAAAAGUCCUACCUUAUCUAUUUUCCAAAGUAUUUAAAAUUUUGUAUAAAAUAAAAUUAUUUAAUCAUGUAUAAGAAGAGCACUAAAAAAUAUUGGUGGGAGAGUGGAAAUGGUAUCAUGGCACCCAAACACCCAAUGACAUACAAGUGAUGCUUAUUAAGUCAUAUUUUUUAAAAAACAAUAUUCUUAAAAUUAAAUAAUAUUGAUGAACUACAAGUAAUAUCGGUUAGUCAUAUGCUGGGAUAUAAAGUAAAUUCUUAUUACCUAACCUGUAUAGCUUCCACUGCGGGAGCCAAGUUGGAUCUAACAAAUAGAGUUUGUCAACAUUUUCAAUCACCCACCGGAGAUCAAGCUUAUAUCGCAUUACUUAAAAGGGACUCUUGAUCAUGGUCUUUGAACCUCUCGUAAUUAAAAAAAUUUCACAUUGUCUUGCUUAUGUGAUGCAAAUUGAGUAGGAUGUCCGAUUACUAAGGCUAUGUUUGGUUCUCAGAAAAUUUGAGGGAAAAUGCAAGGGAAAGAAAAUACGAAGAAAAAAUAGAAGAAAAGAAAAAGUGAAGGAAAAUAAAAAAUGGAUUAAAAGUUGAUAAGUUAUUUUUAUUUUUUACUUCAAACUCAUUUUAUUUAUUUUAACUCAUUAAUAUAAAGAUUAAAUAAUUUUAAAAUACAUAAGUUUUUAAUUAGUUUUAAUUAUAUUUGAUUUUCUUUUAUAUUUUUCAUAAGACAACCAAACAUGAAAAAAUUAUUUUCCUUUGCAUUUUUUUUCCUUCCUUAGUAUUUUCCGGGAACCAAACAUAACCUAAAAGAAGCUCCAGAAGCUACUGCAUUUUUAUGGCGUCAAUUGUAUUUUAUGAUCAUCUAAGAACCAACCUACUGUUGCUCGAUCAAGUGGUAAAGCUGAAUAUCGGUCCUUGGCCUCCAAUACAACACUCACUUGCAUUUCUUUCUUAGUUCAUGAAAUCGGUAUUUCUUUUUCAAAUCCUUUAUAACAUCUUUGUGACAACAUGAAAAAAAAAAAAUUGAGAUAUUCAUGCUAAUAAGAGUGUUAAGUUGCGAUAGUGAUAAAACAUCUUUGAUUUUAUAUAAAAUUAGACGUCACAUUUACUUAAUUUUUUUAAUAGUAGCAUAUUUUUUUUAAAAUGAUACUAUUUAAAUUGAAUAAUUUAGGUGAACUAUGAAUACAAGUACAACGUUAAUGCUCCUCAUUUUAUUGAAAUAUAAUAUAUCAUUAACAGUUUUGAAUAUUCAGCAUGUUAGUCAAAAGCCUAGCAUUGCCUAUCUAACCUCAAUUCAAUCACUUUAGGAUUGGACUUGGGCUUACUUUCAGAGUUUAACUCUAGCCUAUGAGUUGGGCCAAGCUCGUUCAGCAUUAAACCCUAAAAAGUAGGGAUGGCAACGGGGCGGGUUUUUUCAGGCACCCGCCCCGCCCCGCCCCGCCCCUACCCUAAUGGGACGGGGUUGAAAUUUAAUAAACAGGUUUUUAACGGGUAUGAGAUUUUUUUUUUAAACCCGGGGCGGGUUCGGGACGGGUUCGGGUAUUGCCCCAUCCCGCCCCGCCCCACCCCGUUUACAUAUAAAAUCAAUUUUAAAAUUUAAUUUAAUUUAAAUUUUAAAAUUAAUUUUAUUUUACUAUUUUUAAUAUAUAGAUAAUAAUAAUAAAAAAUUAAUAAAAUAAGUUAUAAAAAAUAUAAUAAUUUUAUUAUUUAUAAAUAUAUUUAUUUUAAUGUAAUUAAAAAUUUUAAAAGCAAAUUUUUAAAAAAAUUAAAAAAAAAAAAAAAAAAAAAAAAAAAAAAAAGGAGGCUAAACGAGGCGGGUUUGGGAAUUUCCCAUACCCGCCCCGCCCCGUUUAAUUUUUUAAACGGGACGGGGAUGGGAAUUAUUUUUAAUAAACGGGGCGGGGUUGGGAUGGGGGCAACGGAAUUUCUCAUACCCGCCCCGUUGCCAUUCCUACUAAAAAGGGGUUGAUUUUGUUGACACCCUCUUAGAUUUAGUAUAAAUAUAUUAAGUUAUUAUUGAUUUUAAACUUCAUUAAUUAGACAACACUCUUAUAAAUAUAUUUUAAAUAUAAAAUUUAUCUUUUAGAGAAUAAAUUAAUUUAUUUUUAAAAGACACACCUACAUAAUUUUCUUUUAUAAAAGAUUUCUCUAAAAAAUAUAUUUUAUAAAUAUAAUAAAUUUAUAAAGUGCUAAUUAAUGAAAUUUAAAACUAAUAACAGUUAAAUAUAUUUACAACAAAUCUCAAGAGAUCUCAAUGAAAUUAACCCUAAAAAUAAAUAUGAUCUAAAUAUGCUUUAAAAAAAUAAAUGAAAAAAAUAAACGAAAAUAAAAUAAAAUAUAAAAUAUAAACCCAUCAUCAUUGAUAUAGAAGACAAAAAUUUAGAAGAAAAAUGAUUCAUCAUUAACUUCUAAAAUAAAAUAAAAUUUUUUAAAUAAAAAAAAAGCCCUACAUUUGUUUCAGUCAUGAUAAUCGAAUGAAAAAUGAUGUAAAUACAUUAAUUUCAUGUGUGCACUUAGUUAUUUUAGUUAUUAUGUUUUAAAAAUAUGAAUUAUGCUGCUUAUAUAAAAUAAAAUACAUUUUAAUCUUUUUGUUUUGAAAAAAACAAACGGUCUUGUUUUUCAAAUUUUCAAUUCUAUUACACGGUCUGCCAAUUUUUCCAAAAAUACGUACAUAGAAGAUAAGAUAGAAAAAGUUUUUAUGUCAUAUAUUAAAAAUACUUAAAUUAGGAAGGUCUUUUAGAUAGGACAGAAAAUCAGAUUAAUGUGAUGAAUAAUUGAAUAUAAAUUGUUUUCUUCAGACGUAAACUUGCAGCAAGGGAAUAGACUGUCAUUGUCUACAUUUUUUGUUAGGUUAGAAGAGAGCCAGGUGAGUGGUCAGCAAGAGAAUCACGUAGACACCAAUAUUGCAGAUUUUAGCCGUGGACUGAAAAAGACUGGCUUGACUUGGUGUGUGUUUCUGGGGGGGCGGGGAGUCUUCAAACGUAAACUUGCAGCAAGGGAAUAGACUGUCAUUGUCUACAUUUUUUGUUAGGUUAGAAGAGAGCCAGGUGGUGGUCAGCAAGAGAAUCACGUAGACACCAAUAUUGGAGAUUUUAGCCGUGGACUGAAAAACACUGGCUUGACUUGGUGUGUGUUUCUGGCGGGGGCGGGGGAGUCUUCAGACGUAAACUUGCAGCAAGGGAAUAGACUGUCAUUGUCUACAUUUUUUGUUAGGUUAGAAGAGAGCCAGGUGGGUGGUCAGCAAGAGAAUCAUGUAGACACCAAUAUUGGAGAUUUUAGUCGUGGACUGAAAAACACUGGCUUGACUUGGUGUGUGUUGGGAGGGGGGGGGGGGGAAGUUUAAAAAUAAAGCACUUUUAUUUUUUGGAAACAAGAGAAGUAGUACCAAAGUAUUUUGUAUAAAAAUACAAGGUAAAUUCCUAUCUUAUGUAUAGUUCCUAAUUUUAAGAAGAAAAAAUAAAAAUUAUAUCUAAACAUAACCUUUGUAAUGAUCAUAAAUGUUUUAUUUAAAUUUUAAAUUAAAUUUCUUUUAUAAAAUUUCAUAAUUUGUUAUGGUCUACAUUUUGUUUUUAUCAAAGUCUCUAUCUAGUUUUAUUACUUGUCAUUCUUUAAAUUCGAUUGAGUCUUCCAAGUCUUCUCAUUGGCCUUCUGCGUAAACGUGGUGUAGGCUUGGAAGAUUCAAUGAAUAAAUCCAUCAUUGAUACAUCAAUGGUUUUUUCUUCAACUUAUUUGACGGGAAGCCUACCUAACGUAUGGAAUCUGGGGUGGGUGCAGUUGCUUAAUGGAUCUGAAUUGCAAGCUCCUAGAAACUAUGCCCUAGUGUUCAUACACAUUUUGAACACCAAACCAAAGAGAAAUAUUAUAUGCAAGAGGAAAAUGGACAUUUACUUUUAGUGCAGUCCACCAGAAAUUAAGUCAUAAAUUACGUGGACAUUAAUAUUAAUAUUAUGUUUACAGCAGUGGUGGUAGUUACCAUCGCCAUUCAAGUGGUUGGUAUAAAUGUUUCAAUGCUUCAUGUUAGACAUGCUUAUAAAGGUGAAUUCUUUUGAAAAGGAUGAACUCAAUAUUUGACCGAGUAAUGGAUAUUCUUUCUACGAACAAGUUCAAUGGGGGUGAAUUCUUCGUAAUAUGCAACCUGAUAUUAGUUAGAUAGUAAGUGGAAAAUGACCAAGGGUCAAAGAAGUGGAAUAUUCUUAUUGGCGAAAAGAAAUAACAAGUGACAAUUUAAUAUUGAAUUUUAAAUGAAAAUAAAAUAAAAUAUAAACCCAUCAUCGUUGAUAUAGAAGGCAAAAAUUUAGAAGAAAAACGAUUCAUCGUUACCUUCUUAAGAAAAAAAGAAAAAAGCCCACAUUUGUUUUAGUUGUAAUAAUCAAAAAGAAAAAAAAGACAUCAAAAAUAAUGAAAGGUAAAAAAUGAUGUAAAUACAUUAAUUUCAUGUGUGUACUUAGUUAUUUUAGUUAUUAUGUUUUAAGAAUAUUAAUGAUGCUCCCUCUAUAAAAUAAAAUACAUUUUAAUCUUUUUGUUUUGAAAAAAACAAAUGGUGUUGUUUUUCAAAUAUUUCAAUUCUAUUACACAUUCUGCCAAUUUUUCCAAAAAUACAUGCAUUGAAGAUAAGAUAGAAAGAGUUUUAUGUCAUAUAUUAAAAAUAUUUAAAUUCAGAAGGUCUUUUAGAUAGGACAAAAAAUCAAAUUAAUGUGAUGAAUAAUUGGAUAUAAAUUGUUUUCUUUAGACCUAGACUUGCAACAAGGGGAUUGACAGUCAUUGUCUACCGUUUUCAUUAGGUUGGGAGAGAGCCAGGUGGGUAGUCAGGUCAGCAAAAGAAUCAUGAGGACACCAAUAAUCGAGGCUUUAGUCGUGGACCCCAAAAAAGUAGUUUGACUUGGUGGAUGUUUGGUAAAACAAUUUAAUAGUUGAAAGUGAUUUAAUAAUUUAAUUUAAGUUAUUAAGUAAAUUAAAUAUAUUUGAUAAAAUAAUUUAAUAAUAUGACUUAAAGUAAAAGAUAAUUAACUUAUUUUUAAUUUUGUAUCUUUAUUUUUCUUUUUUAUUCUUAUUUACCCUAAUUACCUUCCACGAUUUCUUUUACUAUUUCAUGAUCUUCAUUGUUAAUCGAUCUCUUUUACCCGAAUUAUAAUAUAUGAGAAUAAAUAUAUUAAUUUGAUGAUUUAGAAUAAAUUUUAAGUUAAUUUUAUUAAAUAAUCUUAAUACUUGAAGUAAAAAUUAAGUAAUAAGUUUUAAGUUAACAAUUUAAGUAUAAUUUAAUUUAUAAUCAACUUAAAUCAUUAAGUAAUAAGUUUAAAUUUUACUAAACACCCCCUUAGUGUGUGUUUCCGAAGAGAAAAUAGUCUCUUAUAUUGAUUCUACGAGCCAAGAACAAUUGAAAACAAGAAAAGUAGUACCAAAGUAUUUUGUAUAAGAAUACAAGGUAAAUUCUUGUCUUAUGCACAAUUUCUAAUUUUAAAAAUAAAAAAUAGAAAGUAUAUAUAAAUAUAACAUUUAUAUUUAAAAGCACUUAUAUUGAUUCUAGGAGUCAAAAAACAAAACAGAUUUUGGUUUUGGAAACAAGAGUAGUACCAAAGUAUUUUAUACAAGAAUACAAAGUCAAUUCCUAUCUUAUGUACAAUUUAUAUUUUUUAAAUGAAAAAUAGAAAAUAUAUCUACAUGCAACCUUAAUAAUUAUUAUAAAUGUUUUAUUUGAACUUCAAAUUUUCUUUUACUUCAUAAUUUAAAAUUUUUCCCUAAAAUUUUAUUUAAUUUUUAUAAUUUAUUAUUGUUUGUGUUUUGUUUUUUUAAAGUCUUUAUCUAGUUUUAUAUAAUAUUAUGUAGUUUUUCAAAGACUCUUGGAAAAUUUUAUCUUAUUCUCAUUUUGAUUGUAUUGUUUCAUUUUUCUCAAGUCUUUAUCUAGUUUUAUAACGAGUUGACAAAUUCAUACCAUGUAAAUCAUACAUAAUUUAAUUUGUUGACUCAUUAUGAAUGUUUUAUUUAACCUUUAAAUUUUCCUUUAAUCAUUUGCUUGUGAAGGGUCAUUUUUUUCAUUUUGUUAGACCUAUUUGGUUUCAUAAUAAGUCAACAAUGUGUAAAUCAUAAGUAAUUUAAUUUGUUAACUCAUUAUGAAUAUUUUAUUUGACCUUUAAAUUUUAUUUUAAUCAUUUGUAUUUGUAAGGAUGAUUCUUUUAAUUUUGUUUGACUUAUCAAGCCUCUCAUUUUCACGUGAAAUCUUGUAAAGUUUUCCAAAGCCCCUUGAAAAAUUUUGCUUCAUUCUUCAUUACUUCCACAAAGUUUUCCAAAGCUCUGUGGAAAAUAUUGCUUCAUUCAUCAUUGUGAAAACUUCCAAAAAGUUUUUCAAAGCUCCUUGGAAAAUAUUGCCACAUUCAUCGUAAUGAAAUCUUCCAAAUAUCCAUUAUUGGGAAUAAAUAACGUAUAAACUUGAUUGAGUAAUCACAUUAUUUAGAACCUAUUUAUGAUCUAUUUUAGUUAAAAGAUUCUUAAUUUAUAGUAUUUUUUGUUAUUAGUGUUUCUACUAGAAAAACUUUUUAAGAAAAAUCCAUUAGUAUUUAUAUGUAAUAAAAAAUAUUUUCAUAAUGUUUUUAGUAAUGUAUUAUAUAUUUAGAUGUAAUAAAAAUUAUUUUUAUAAUUUUUUUAAUAAUGAAUUAUAUAUAACCUAAAAAAUAUAAAAUCUCCUACCAUAUGAUUAUCCAUGUGUCAUUCUAGAUGAUUAGCUAAAUUUUUAAAAGCAAAAAACACUUUCAUGUAUUAUAUACGAAACACUUUUGGGCUUGUUUGAAUCAUUUUCAAACAUAUUAUAAAGAUUUUUUUUAUACAUCGUUGGUACUCAUCAUUCUUUACAUACGGUUGACUCAUUGAAGUCUUCUUCUUGGUCUUUAUGAAAACAUGAUGUAGCUUGGAAAAAUCUAUGAAUAAAUCCAACAUUGAUCAACGUCAAUUUUUCUUAUGGGAAGCCUACCUAACGUGGAAUAUGGGGUGUGUCGUUUAAUUGAAUUCAAUUGCAUGCUCUUGGAAAUUAUUCCCUAGACUAUAUUUUUUGUGUUCAUAUGGUGACAUGUUGAAAAUGUAUUUCAUUUUUAUAGAAAGAAAUAAUCCAUGCAUACAAAUUUUGAACACUUAAUCAAGGAGAAAUAUUAAAUUGAAGAGAAAAAUGGCACCAUACUCUCAUAAGAUUCAAUAUAUUAGUUUUUUUUAUAUAAGUAAAUAAUUAAUUAAUCAAAGACUUCAAAGAAAAUAUUUCUGUGAAUUAUAUAUAUAUAUAUAUAUAUAUAUAUAUAUAUAUAUAUAUAUAUAUAUAUAUAUAUAUAAUUUAUAAAGGAUUUAGAUAGGAAAGAAAAAGAGGUUUAAAAUGAAUAAACUUGCCUUCUUUGUAUAUGUUAGAAAAGAGCCAGCUGGGUGACGAGCAUUUGUGUUCACAUUUACUUUUAUUGCAGUCCACUUAAAGUCUACACAAGAAAUUAAAUCAUGAAUGACGUGGACAAUAAUAUUAAUAUUAUUAGAGACUUUAGGAGUCGACUGAUAAAGAGUUGCUUGACUUGGUGUGUUUCCAAGAAGGGAAGAGGCUCUUUCUUAGACACCAACCAAUAUUUAUAUUUAUAUUUGCAUUAUAAAAGUGUGUAGUAAGGUUUAAUUGCACAGAAUUAAAGAUGGCGUCCUCCAUUAUAAUUUCUCCAGCAGUGGUUGUAGUUACCAUUACCAGUAUCAUGAUGAUAAUGUUAUUCUCUCUUGCCAAUGCAUUAUCAUCACCAUCUUCAUCAACUGAUGAGGCAGAGGCUCUGCGCAGCACCGGUUGGUGGAAUUCUACCUCUGCUCAUUGCAACUGGGAUGGUGUAUAUUGCAAUAAUGCCGGAAGAGUUACUCAAAUCGCCUUUUUCGAUUCAGGAAAAAAAUUGGGUGAGCUUAGCAAAUUGGAGUUUUCUUCAUUUCCCAGCCUGGUUGAGCUCUUCCUUUCUGACUGUGGACUCAAUGGCAGCAUCCCACACCAAAUAGGUACUCUUACUCAACUCAUCAUCCUAUAUCUCCCUUUAAACAAUCUUACAGGUGAGCUACCUCUUUCCUUGGCUAACCUCACUCAGUUGGAGUACCUCUCCCUUCAUUCUAAUCGACUACAUGGUUCGAUUCCUCCUGAAAUUGGGAAAAUGAAGAAUCUGAUUUAUUUUAUUCUCCAUGAUAACAACCUUACUGGUGUCAUCCCUUCAUCUUUUGGUAAUCUUACCAAUCUGACUUAUCUUUAUCUUGGCAGUAAUCAAAUAAGUGGUUUUAUCCCUCCUCAAAUUGGGAAAAUGAAGAACCUGGAGUUCCUCUCUCUUUCUUAUAACGGACUACAUGGUUCAAUUCCUCCUGAAAUUGGGAAAUUGCAGAAUCUGAAUUAUUUGUUUCUAGACUAUAACAACCUUACUAGUGUCAUCCCUUCAUCUUUUGGUAAUCUUACCAAUCUGACUUAUCUUUAUCUUGAUAGUAAUCAAAUAAGUGGUUUUAUCCCUCCUCAAAUUGGGAAAAUUAAGAACCUGGAGUUGCUUGAACUUUCUUAUAACGGACUACAUGGUCCAAUUCCUCUUGAAAUUGGGAAAUUGAAGAAUCUGAAAAUUUUGAAUUUGGGUUAUAACAACCUUAUUGGUGUCAUCCCUUCAUCUUUUGGUAAUCUUACCAAUCUAACUUAUCUUACUCUUGGAGGUAAUCAAAUCAGUGGUUUUAUCCCUCCUGAAAUUGGGAAAAUGAAGAAUCUGAUUUUUUUUAAUCUGGGUUAUAACAGCCUUACUGGUGUCAUCCCUUCAUCUUUUGGUAAUCUUACCCAUCUAACUUCUCUUAUUCUUAGAGGAAAUCAAAUCAAUGGUUCCAUCCCUCCUGAAAUUGGGUAUCUUUUGGAUUUAUUAUAUCUAGAUCUCAAUACGAAUCAAAUAAGUGGUUUCAUCCCUGAAGAAAUACUGAAUUUGAAGAAAUUGGGUCAUCUAGACAUCAGUAAUAACUUAAUAAGUGGAAAGAUACCUUCAGAGUUGGGAAAUUUGAAAGAAGCAAUAUACUUCAAUCUCUCCCGCAAUAACAUCUCUGGCACCAUUCCUCUUUCUAUUUCUAACAACAUGUGGACGUUAUUUGAUUUAUCACACAAUCAGUUGGAGGGUCAAUCUACAGCUCCACUAGAGGCAUUUGACCACAACAAAGGUUUAUGUGAUGGAAUCAAAGGUUUGUCGCAUUGCAAGAAAAGACACCAAAUCAUUCUCAUCAUUGCUAUUUCUUUAUCUGCAACCUUGUUGCUUUCAGUUGCAGUCCUUGGGUUUCUCUUCCGCAAACAAAAGAUAAGAAAAAAUCAAUUACCCAAGACAACAAAGGUAAAAAACGGAGAUCUAUUUUCCAUAUGGGAUUAUGAUGGUGUGAUUGCUUAUCAAGACAUCAUCCAAGCAACCGAGGAUUUUGACAUCAAAUACUGCAUAGGCACGGGAGGCUAUGGGAGCGUUUACAGAGCACAACUGCCUUCCGGGAAGGUGGUUGCCUUGAAAAAACUUCAUGGAU
rnacentral:lncRNA from 1 species